GGGGGGGGGGGGGGGUGAGAAUAAUGAAGUACCCGCACAAAUUAUAUUGAAAAUUAUAUGUUUCAUCAGUUCAGUUUACGUACCACCAUCCUUGGGGUCAUUGAUGGCUACACAGACAUCUUGAAGAUGGCCAGGGUCAGUGGCAGAGGCCAAAGAAGAAGCCAAAGCCAAGAGGGCAAAACCUAUAAGAAAUUGAAUUACCUUCAUGGUGAUUAAGUCACAGGAUGUGCCUAUCUCAAACUUUAAUCAAGUGUUGUGAUUUGAGAAUCUUGUGAGGAACUAGACUAUUUAUAGAACCAAGUCCAUGAACGAGUUUGUGUGUUCAAUUAUUAGUCCUCGAAGCAAGUCAAGACUUAUUGGGUCCUUAAUAAUAUAACUUUGUAAUGUUUUGCAUCCCUCGUUUUCAUUUGUUUUUCAAAAUUUACAUGUAGAACUUGAUUGAUGGUACACAUCUUAAAUAUAAAUUGUAAAACAUACAAAAUAAUGUUUGGCUGACAAUGAUAUAACUUUGUAAUGUUUUGCAGCUCUCAUUUUCAUUUUUGUUUGUUUGCUGGUACACAUAUUAAAUGUAAAUUGGAAAACAUACAAAUCAAAGUCUGGCUACAAUGAUAAAUGAACCGACCAGCUUCGAAUUUUCCUGGGUAAAUUAAUCUAGUCUCAUCAAAACUGACUUGAUAUUAAUCUAAUUAAUGAAAAUUUUGUUAAAAAUUCAGCACUCUUUUAUAAACAUAACACUCUCAAUAUACAAAUAUGAAUAUAACACUCCCCAAAAUAAUUUAAUAUACAACCAACUCUAAUGAUCAACAUUCUCAAUAAAAAUACUAAAUUUUAGUAUUUGACUCAAAAUAUCUAUAGGGUAUCAAAAGAUUAUAUUAUAACUAAGGGAAAUUAUCAUUGCACCACCUUUAUUUUGUCUUAUGUUUAUCCAACCACUACAAAAUUUUAACAUGUACUUUGCACCAUUUUUCUUUUCACAUUUGUAUCAACUAGUCACUUUACAUUAACACUAUUAAAUAAUUUUAAUAAAAUGAUAAUUUUACCCUAAAUAAAUUAAAAGAUCAUUUUAUUUUAUAAAAAAUUUAAAAAAUAAAAAAAUAUAAUGGUAAAAAUAUCCCUAAAUUUAAUAAAAAUAAAUCCCAAAAUUAGAAUUUUUAUUUUUAAUAAAAAUUAUUUUAAUAUAAAAUUAUAAUUAUAAAAAUAAUUACAAAAUUUUGGGAUUUAAUAAAAAUCUCCUAAAUUAUUAAAAUUUUAAAAUUUAUUCUUUUAAGAAAUAAAUUAAGUUAUUUUAAUAAAAUUUUACAAAUUAUAAUUUUUAAUAAAUAAAUUUAUUUAUUUUUAUUAAAAUUUUUAAUAAAAAUAAUUAUUAAAAUUUUGUAAAAUCUAAAUUUAGUAAAAAUCAGUUGACCACCUCUAUUUGAGAUUUAUGUUUUUUAUUAAAUUUAGGGAUAUUUUUAUGAUUAUAAUUUUUAAUUUUAAAAAUUUUUAUAAGAUAAAAUAAUCUUUUAAUUUAUUUGGGGGUAAAAUUAUCAUUUUAUUAAAAUUAUUUAAUAGUGUUAAUGCAAAAGUGACUAAUUGAUACAAAUGUAAAAAAAAAAAUGGUGCAAAAUACAUGUUAAAAUUUUGUGGUGGCUGAAUGAACAUAAGGCAAAAUAAAGGUGGUGCAAUGAUAAUUUCCCUAUAACUAAUAUUAACAUAUUUGUUUAUUCUUAAUCCCAAAAGAAUAAUAUAACAAAAUUAUACAAUCCCAAAAGGGUGAGAUGAUCCGGAUGUCCUAACAAAAAAAUCAUCUAUAUCUUCUAAUAUCAUCACGUGGCCAAAACUCAAAAUAUAUUUACAGCCGCUGGGUCGGUUUGGUGUACCUGCAACCUCCUGUUGGGGGGAGGAAAAUAUAAUAAAAACCGAAUGAGUAUAAAACUCAGUGAGCUUAGUGAGUAUAUAGUAAUUUUUGAAAACAAAUUUUUACUUUAAAAGAAAUAAUCAUAUCAUUUCCAAACACAAUUUCAUCAAACCAUAUGCGAGAAACCAGUAAUAAAUCAUUUAACAUUUAAAUCAGAUUACCAACCUUGAAAAGCAUAUAUAAUAUCGUAGCUAAUAACCAUGGAAAUCAUAUCACAAUAUCAUAUAGAAUACACAAAUAUGAAAAUCAUCACUAAACAAGUACCAAGAGGAAUAAUCUCAUCGUAUCCGGACCUCAACGGAUGGACAAUGACGUACUAUUUAGAUAUUGUCACACCCCGGAACUACACGGAUAGACAAGAAAAUAUCAUCUCAUAUCUCAUGAUAUAUGUGCAUGUAUAAUCUAGUCCCCAAAGGACAAAAGCGCCCAAGCACAUGGCCCAAAGCCUCUAUGUGUACUCAGACGAGCCCUCAAUGCAUGUAUCUCAUAUGUAUCAUCUGUAUAUGUAUCACUGUUAUCAUCAUAUCACAUGCAUAUGCCCCCAAAAGGCAGAAGUGCCUAAACACACGGCCCAAAGCCUCUAUGUGUGUUCAGACGGGCCCCAAAGACCUCUCAUCUCUAUACUUAUAAAAGAGAAGGGUAUUGUCGAAUGAUUUUAAAAACAAUCUCUAUACUCAUAUUCAUAUAAAUUAUAAUCAUACUUUAAAUCAUACAUUUCUUUUUAUUAUCACAUCUAAAUCCACUUUUCUCAUCUUUAAAAUACCAUAAUAUUUUAUUCAAAGUCGAUACGAAAAACUAUUAACGAAACAUUUUAAUAUAAUAUCAAUGCGUGAAUAAAAUCCAUUUCAAGAAAAUCAUUAAAUCAGAACAUUUAAAAUACUUAUUUCGCAAACAUACUUUACUAUCAUAAUUAAUUAUGAAAAUAAAUUUUGUAUAUUCCACUCACAGUGACGAUGUUUACGCUCGGUUAUCGUCCACGUCCGCGGACUGACUCUCACUUGCGGAUCCUCCUAAAUCAAGAAAACGACAUAAUUAUUUUCUAUAAAUCAGAAUUAGGACUAAAUUUAUGCAACAAACUCGAAACAAACAUCUAUCCAUAAUUUACAACUCCCGUAUCGAUAAAAUUACUAAAAUACCCUUAAAUAUGUAAAUCAUUAAGAUACUUCGAAAUUAUAAAUCACCGAAUUACCCUCGGAAUCAUAAUUACACCCAAUCUUCAAUUUCAGGAAUUACUAAAAUAUCCACAGGCUCAUAAAUUACAAAACCGCUAUCAAAAUGUGAAAUUACCGAAUUGCCCUUACCGGUCAACGGUGGCCGGAAUUCAAGCAACGGUGACCGGGAAGCUCAGGUCAGACGCUUCUCGCUGAGCUGAGUUCAAUGAUACCGGCAGUGUGCUCCCACGCGUGGCGACGGCACCAGAAUCUAGCUCGACAGUCGUGUUACUACAACGGCUGAACCACGACAAAUCGACGGCUCUUGGUGGGUGUGGAUGGUCAGAAAAUUAAAGGGGAGUCGUGGGGAACAAAAUCCAGCCGGUGCUGUCACCCAAAACCGGUGAAAAUCUCAACAGAGCAAGGUGGAAAAGUAGCGGGUUUUUCAAGCUUUGGUCACCGACGUUCUAGCUGUUUUCCGGCGACGUGGACGAUUGGGGCAUGAUGGCCGGUUUGCAAGCUUCAGAUUGGUACCAAACUUGACCGGUUGGGUGGCCGGAAUCACAAGAUAUCGCCGGGUCGAAUUUCAGGUCAAACGGGUCGGGUUUCGGGUCGGUUUACAGCUUCUCUCACUCUCUCGUACGUGUGUAUCUGUUUCCCUGUGUCAAACUUCUUCUUUUACUUUUAUUUACUUUUUAACCGCCUCAUCUUUUUUUUUUUUUUUUUCCACGUGUGUUACAAUAAAACCCAAAACAGGUUAGACACGUUUCCACCAAUCUUCAAAACGAACAUAAAAUAUAAUAAGAAACAAUAUUUUAACGCGUUUCCAAAGCAUAAUUAAAAUAUAAUUUUUUCAUUGGAAAGAAACGAGUUGAAGAAUUUAUGAAAAUGGGUGAGAAACAAAUUCAAGUCUCUGGCCACAGGCUAACAGUUGAGAGUCAUGUUCUGUAAAUAUCGAUGUUACCGGACUUGAUUGGUUUGUUGUUGGACUUAAUGAAGAUGCAUUAUUAGCCAUUUUUUCUUUUUCAUAUCAAUUUUCAUAGCUGCUUUAAUCAUUUUUAGUUAUGAAUGCAUUACCAAUGAUGCACUUGUUUUUUUCAUUACGUGUUAAAAUAUUGUUUUCUGUAAAUAUCGAUGUUACCGGACUUGAUUGGUUUGUUGUUGGACUUAAUGAAGGUGCAUUAUUAGCCAUUUUUUUCUUUUUCGUGGCUGCUUUAGCCAUUUUUUCUUUUUCGUGGCUGCUUUAACCAUUUUUAGUUCUAUGAUUGCUUUACCAAGUCAAUGAUGCACUUGUUUUUUUUCAUUAAGUGUUAAAAUACUGUUUUCAGUGGUCACGUUAAUUGAUAUAUAUCAUUUUCCAUCUUAUUUUCAGUGAUCACAAAUCAAAAUGUGAAUAAGCUGGUGUCGGCACGUUUGGUUAGAGAUAGUGAUAUCAUUUUCCAAUGUCAAGUGAUAUAUAUCAUUUCAACUUUAAAAGCUAAUUUUAAUAUUUAAUAAAUAUUUUUACAAAUAACUUUUAGUAAAAUCAUGUAAAUUUUGAAAAAUAGAAAAAAAUAGUUUUUUAAAAUCUGAUUUCGAGAAUCACUUUUAUACUUAAUAUAUAAUUUAUAUAUAUCCUCAUAUAUAAGACAAAAAUUCAAAAUCAUCCUUAUUAAUUAGAAAAUAAAAUUAUUAAUUUUAAAAAAUUAUUAUUAUUAUCAAUUAUAUUGAGAUAACAAAAUAAAAAAUAAAAUUGAUAAUAUAAAAUAUUUAUUUUAGUUAUCAAUUAUUAUAUAUACACAACUAAAAAUAUUUUAUUUACAUGUUUAUAAAUGUGUAAUUAAAUUUUAUUCAACAAAUGUUCACUUCACUUAUUUAUAUUCUUACAACAUUUUAACAUUAAGAUUUACCAAAUACAUACAACCGCUUUUAAAACUCACAACAUUUUUAAAAAUAAAUUUUACUAAACUUUUAAUUGGUUCUCUAUUAUAGCUGAUUAUUUCUACAGUAUGACUAACAAUAAUUAUUUUAAAAACUAUAACAUUAUUAACUUAGCCCUUAGUGACUCAAUUGAUUAAAAUUAAGUCAAUUAAAUCACUAAGUUAGGAAAACAAACCGCCCUUUAGUUACUUUCUUAAUGUAAAUAUUAGUAAAUUAUAAUGCAAAUAAAGAUAAUAAUCUCUUCCUUUGUUCACUUUUUUAAUUAAAAUUAGUUGCAUUAGCUAUUUUGAAUAACAAAUUGAAUUGAUCACGAAAUAAUAAUCUCUUCUUCCAAUCAUAUGAGUGGGUUUGAGUGACUCAGGUAGUCAUGGGAAUUUGUUUUAUUUGAUUUCUACACUUGGCUUUUUAGGAUUAUUUGUAAGGACAUUAAUUAUGUAUUUUUAAUGGGUUUAUAUGUUAAUUAUAUUGCAUGUAAUAUUAAAGGUUUGUCAACAAGUUGGCAACCAUUUAAGAGUAUCUCCAAAAAUCUUUAUAAAUUUUAUUCUUUAAAUAUCUAUUUACUUACCUAUGUGACAAAUAGAAGGGUGAAAAAAUAUGAUAUUCUCUAAAAGUCUCUUCAAAUAAAAAUAGGUUAAUAUUAUUUUAAUCAAAUAAUAAUUUUUUUAAAGGAAAAGUCAAUAUCAAUUAAAGCACUUAUCUCUCUUUCUCCAAUGAAAAGUAAGAAAACAUAAAUUGAAGAUGGAGAAAUCAAAUCUUCAAAUUUAAAAAGAGAUAAUCAUUUCUUAUUUAAAAAAUCUUAAUUGAAGUGUCUUUUGAAGUCGUAAAUAUUGAUGUGGCUCUUUAAAUAAGUAAUAAAAUCUUAUUUGAAGAGCGUUUUGGUGAUGCUCUAAUUAGUUAAAAUGCAUUCAUGUCAGUAUUUAAGAUACGUAUCACUUUCUGGCAACAAUGUUAAUAUAUGUUUCCGUUCGAACUUUCCACUUGCUGCUUGACCCAUGUAAGUUAUGAAAAAGUUUCCGAGAAUUGACUUACAAAAGGAUGCUAAUCUCUUUUCUUUUUCUCUUUUUUCCGGGGGAAAUUGCAGGUCAAGAAUCUGGAGAGGUCAUAUUUCAAAAUGUCGAGGCUCCAUUGUUCUGGGCAGAAGCCCCAACACUUCAAAGUAACUGAGAAUGACUUGGACUUCCCUUGCGAUAGAUAGGUAGACGGGAAGGGAAACGGGAUUGCAGAUAAAAGCAAAGAGAAAUAAUAGAACGAUGAUUAUUGUAUUUAGAAGAAAUUGUUUCACCUUAUUCAAAUGACGCCAUGGCUGUGUUUGUGAUGUCAGUGCUGACGAUGGAUUGUAGUUUGUGUCCAAAUGUACCUUCUUCUUUUUUUGGGUCUGAACCAUCCGGUAUCCGGCGAUCACAUUGGGCCCCGACUACUCCGGAUUCGGGACGGGUGCUAAUAAAGCCCUCCCAACGAGGGCGACUCCCAGAGAACUCGAACUGAAGAGCUAACCCAAUCAACCCACCUAAGGAGUUCAGCCGGCGCCAGCUGAACCAACACCUCGUUGGUUCCAAAUGUACUUUUCUAUGUAUAAGGAUUCGUAAAAAACGUUGGAGAUUAGAAAAGAAAAUAAAUAGAUCCUUCCUCAAGCUGUCGGUGCUCUUCUAUUAGAGUUGGGACCAGUGGCACCUCUUUAAUCUCAUCAUAAAAUUCCUUUUUCAGUUAUAUUUACUUUAUUUGUGAUAAUGUCUUUUUUUUCCUUUUUUUAUUUUAAGAACACUUUUAAUUUUUUAUUUAAUUUUUUUAGUUAAAACUUUAAAAGUAGUAGUGUUAUUCAUUUUUUAUUUCUUUUGUAAUCUUAUUAUUAUCUUACGCAUAAAUUAAAAGAUUUAAAAAAAAAUUUAGGUGAUGAAUUUUUUAAUGUUAAUUAUUUAAUUAAAUUAUACAUAUGUUAAACUAUAAUUUAAAAAUAAUUUUUAAGUACACAAAUAUUUAAUUAAUAAGAAAUAUGAAAAGAAUAAUAGAUUAUUUCAAAUUUUGUAUGGUUUAUUUUAGUUAGAUAAGAAGUAACCGGCAAAAAAUUUAAAAAAAGAUUGAUUAUAAUUAUAAGUAAUUUUUUUUAAAGAUAGAUUAUGAAUAUAAGUGAUUUAUUAAAAAAAAAAUUAUGUAUGAUUAAUUUUAUUUGAAGCAGGGUUUUGAAGGAUAAUGAAGGGGUCCCAAACGCUGUGGGUUUGUUGGCUCUUCCGCUGUCAAAAGUCACGUAUGCUUGGAAGCUUUUAAAAAGCAUGAUGGUAAUGUAAUACUGCAAUUGGAUCAUGGAUUUUUCAUUUAAGAAGAUAGCCACCUGGCGGCAACUCUGAUAUACAAAACAUGUAUUUCAGAAUACGGAAUCUAUCCAAACAUAUAGCAUGCAAGUGCGAUUGCCAGCUCGAGCAGUUUUUAUUGCGGAAUUCUUUCAAACACAUAGCACGCAUGUGAAGUUCCCGCAUUGGACCUUCCAAGAUGUUAGUUUCUCUAUUCAGAAACUGAACUCAAUGCCUCAUCCCCUCCUUCAAAGCCAUGACCCUCGUGGCCGCGGUUAACACCUCAUAUUGGGAAAGGGACUAUCACAACCAGUUGUAAAUUAAGCGGAAACAAAACUUUUUCUCUUUUUGUGUGAUUAAAAUAUGAUGUGUACCACAAAUAAAUAGGCAGAAAAAUAAACUAAUAAAUCUAAAGUAAAAACCAACCACAAGAGACACAAAUUUUUAUGUGAAAACCCCAAAGCGAAAAAAACUAUGGGACCGUAAUCCGAUAUAAUCUUUCAAUAUAUUAAUGAGAUUACAACACAAAUUCUUCUCUAGAUAAUACUAAAAGCUACCAACAUCAAGAAUCUCAAUAUUCUUGGCUUACAGUAACAGUCUAAUAAACAGUCUCUCUAAUAAGUAGGUAUCUUAAAUAAUAGCCAACGAGAGAAUAAAAUAAAAAUUAAGACCAAUAAAAUUAUAGAAGGCGAUGUCAAGAACUUACCCUCAAAAUUUAAGAGAAAAUGGAGUUAAAAUCGCCUUCUGAUCAUCUAAUUAAAGAUUGAAAAUCUUACCCCCAAAUAAUCUCAACUCUACUGUCUAUUCUUUUCCCUCCCGUCUUUCUCUUCUCUCAAAAGGUUACUGCCGCCUCCACUUAUGCUUGUUUAUAUAGCCAAAUUUCAUGAAAAUUUUCAUUUGCCCCCUUUAAGUUUUCUUUAAUUACUUAAUUAUCCAAACUUAUUAAACUUUGAGCUUGGGCCAACCAAAUAAGAUGGACCCAACAAAUCUCCCUCUUCAGAUCAUAUGGGGGGCACCACUAAACCCGCUUUCUAUAUACAACUUUAUAGCUUUUCCUUGGACAAUGAUUUUGUCAUCAUAUCUGACCCAUUCUCCAUUAUGUGUAUCUUUUCAACCUACAACUGUUUCUUCUCAAGCACAUCUCGUAUCCAAUUAUACCUCACAUCAAUAUGCUUGGAUUUUGAAUGGUAUGUCGAAUUCUUUGCCAAGUGAAUGACACUCUGACUGUCGCAGUACACAACAAAAUUAUCUUGCUUCACACCCAAAUCUUGUAAGAAAUUCUUCAUCUACAAGGUUUCUUUGCAACCUUCAGUGAUUGCAAUAUACUCUGCUUCUGUGGUAGACAAGGCAACACAUUGCUGAAGUUUAGACUGCCAUGAGACUGCUCUCCUUGCAAAGGUGAGCAAAUAUUCUGAUAGAGAUUUUCUGGAAUCAACAUCUCCUGCCAUGUCUGGAUUAAUGUACACUUAUAACACAAGUUUAUCACCAUCAAAACAUAAACAUGCAUUGGAAGUGCCUCUAAGGUAUAUGAGAAUCUACUUUACUACAGUCCAGUGUUCUUUGCCCAGAUUAGAGAGAAACCGACUGACUACACUAACUGCAUGAGCAAUAUCUGGUCUUGUACAAACCAUGGUGUACAUCUAACUACCAACUGCUGAAGUAUAAGAAACUCAUUUCAUCUUUUGCUUCUAUUUCUCACUUGUAAGAGAAUGCUUGGAAGUAAGCUUGAAAUGGCCUGCAAGUGGAGAACAAACUGGUUUUGUCUUGCUUAUGUUAAAUCUUUCAAGAACCUUUUCAACAUAUAUUUCUUGAGAUAACCAUAACUUCCCAGAUUUUUUAUCGCGGGAAAUCUUCAUGCUAAGAAUCUGUUUCACCGGUCUUAAGUCCUUUAUUUGCAAAAGACUUGCUAAGCUCCCUCUUCAGAUUGUCAAUCUUACUAGCAUCUCAGCCAACAAUCAACAUAGCAUCCACAUAAAGCAAAAGAAUAAUGAAAUAAUUAUCACCAAAUUUCUUCACAAAAAUACAAUAGUCACACAUAGUCUUACUGAAACCAUGAUUCUCCAUAAAAGAAUCAAACUUCUUGUACCACUGCCUUGGUGCCUGUUUUAGCCCAUACAAACUUUGGCUCCUCCCCCACCUUUCUUUCUUUUCUGAAAUAAGUGCAUCUGACUUAGAGGGAACCGCUUCAACACUUUUUCUUCUAGAUUCUUCAUUCUGCAGCCUAUCUGUAACCAUAUUCAAGGUUAAUUUCCCAUUCGACACUGAAUUAUUUACCGACACCACUAAUGUCUCCCAAUUAUCAGGCAAAGAACUAAGCAACAACAAUACUUGUAACUCAUCAUCUAGAAUAUUUUUCAUAGUAGUCAACUGAUCAACCAAGCCUUGAAACUCACUAAUGUAUUCAGUUGUACUGCGCCCUUCCUUGUAUUUCAAAUUAACAAGUCUUUUCAUCAGAUUGACUUUAUUAUGUGCUGUCGGCUGCUCAUAAAUCGUCUCUAAUUUUCUCCAAAUAACAUCAACCUUGGAUUCUUUCGCGUCACGGUGAUACACACUUUGAUCAAUCCAUGAUCUAAUAGUACCCACAAUCUUCUAGUUUAAUUGAGCCCAUUUCUUAUUAUCUAAAUCGGCGGGUCUAUCUUAUUCGCCUUCAAUGGGUUCAUGUAAGUCUUUUAUGUACAACAAAUCUUCCAUCCUAGACAUCCAAAUACCAUAAUUUCAUGAUUUUAAUUUAAUCAUGCAUGCCAAGGACUCCUCCAUCUCAACCACAUAAGUAAUAAAAAUACAAAACCUAACGCUCUGAUACAACUCUGUUAGGAAAAUGCACUACCACAACCAGUUGCAAGUUAACCGGAAACAAAAUUUUUUCCCUUUUUGUGCGAUUAAAAUAGGAUGUAUACCACAAAUAAAUAGACAGAAAAAUAAACCAAUAAAUCCAAAGCAAAAACCAACCACAAGAGAUAUAGAUUUUUACAUGGAAAAUCCAAUAUGGGAAAAACCACGGGACCGUAGUAUAAUAUAAUCUUCCACUAUAUUAAUGGGAUUACAGUACAAAUUCUUCUCUAGAUAAUACUAGAGGUUACCAACAUCAAGAAUCUCAAUAUUCUUAGCUUAUAGUAAUAAUUUAAUAACAGUUUCUCUAACACGUGGGUAUCUCAAAUAGUAGCCAACGAGAGAAUAAAAUAAAAAUUAAGACCAAUAGAAUUAUAGAGGGCAAUGCCAGGAACUUACCCUCAAAAUUUGAGAGAAAACAAAGUUAGAAUCACCUUCCGAUUGUCUAAUUAGAGAUCGAAAAUCUUAGUUAGAAUCACCUUCCGAUUGUCUAAUUAGAGAUUGAAAAUCUUGCCCCCAAAUAAUCUCAAAUCCAUUGUCUUUUCUUUUCUCUCCCGUCUUUUUUUUGCCGCAAAAGGUUGCUGUCACCUCCACUUAUGCUUGCUUAUAUAGCCAAAUUUCAUAACAAAUUUUAUUUGCCCCUUCAAUUUUCCUUUAAUUGUUUAAUUACCCAAACUUAUUAAACUUUGAGCUUAGGCCACCAAAAUGAGAUUGACUAACACCUCAAAAGACGAUUACUACGCAGCCGUAAACCACAUCGCCAACAUAGUCCGUCACGAAAUAGAUCCAGAACGCACCCUCAACAGACUCAACCUCACCCUCACCUCAGAGAUUGUCUACUGCGUCCUCCGCAUCUGCCAUACUACUUCCCCUUCUGAAUCCCUCCGCUUCUUCACCUGGGCCUGCUCCCAGCCCUAAUACUCCCCCACCUCCCUCGAAUUCGAACAGCUCAUUUGAUCCUUGCCCACCACAAACUCUACCAGUCUAUGUGGAAUCUACAUUCUUUUGGCAUUUGAUUGCGUUACGCACAAGCACGCUGUUAUUUAUUUUUAAGCAACAAUGGUGUUUGUAAUUAUUGCCUUUUCUGGCUUUAUCUAGUGUUUAUCUGAGUAAUAAACAAUACUAAAUAGUUUGGUUGAUGGACUCUUGGACUUGGUGAAGAAACGUGUUUUCAUUUCUUAAAUAAAACAUUAUACACUGAGAGUUAUUUAUAGAUGCAGAGGCUACAUUUUUUCAAAGAUUACAUAUGUGAAUACGGAAGGAAAUGUGUCAAUCCGUUCGACGCGGAUCUUGUCUUUGACAAGUGCAUAUUAUCCUUUUGACAAGUGUGGAUUCUGUCUUUGAAAGCUUCAUUCAAUGCCGUUUUUUUUAUCCUCAACACUCCUCCUCAAGCUGGUGCAUAGAUAUCUUGCAUACCCAACUUGUCUAGGAAUUUUGUAAAUGCCCUGCUUGAAAUGGCCUUCGUUAAAAUAUCUGCAAGUUGAUAUUCUGAUCGAAUUUUCGGCAGUUCUAAGAUUUUUUCAUCUAAUUUCUCAUUGAUGAAAAAUCUAUCUACCUCGACAUGUUUUGUUCGAUCAUGUUGAACUGGGUUAUGAGUAAUAUCUCGUGUAGCUUUAUUGUCACAGUAUAGUUGUAUUGGUUGUUGUGACGGAUAGCCCAAAUCAUUUAAGAUAAAACUUAUCAAUAGCCCUUUACAUACCCCAAGGGCCAUGCCUCGAUAUUCUGCUUUAGCGCUCGAACGGGCAACGACAUGUUGUUUCUUGCUUCUUCAUGUGACAAGGUUGCCUCCCACAAAAGUAAAGUAUCCUAAAGUAGAGCGUCUAUCACUAACUGACCCGGCCCAAUCUGCAUCAGUAUAAACUUCUAUGUUGCUGUAAUCUUUAUUUUUGGAAAAUAGGAUUCCUUUUCCUGGAUUUGUCUUCAUGUACCUCAGGAUCCGCAUUACUGCUUUCAUGUGUUGUUCUCCGGGAUUAUGCAUAAACUGACGUACAACACUCAAUGCAUAAGCAAGAUCUGGCCUUGUGUGGGACAAGUACAUCAAUCUUCCAAUCAACCUUUGAUAUCUUCCUUUGUCUACUGGAACUUGGUCUGAGGUAAUACAAAACUUCAGUCCUUCUUCUAUUGGGGUGUCAAUAAAUCUGACAAGCUGUCAUUCCUGUUUCGUGCAAUAGAUAUAAGGCAUAUUUCCUUUGAGACAGAAAGAUUCCUCCCUUAGAUCGAGAAACCUCAAUUCCAAGAAAGUAUUUUAAGGCACCUAAAUCCUUCAUCUCAAACUCUCUUGACAAGUACUUCUGAAGAACCUCUGUUUCUUCCUCGUCGUUGCCUGUAACUACCUUAUCAUCCACAUAGACAAUAAAGGCAGUGAUUUUAUCUUGUCAUUUUUUAAUGAAUAAGGUAUGAUCUGAAUUGCUUUGGUUAUACCCAAAACGAACCAUAGCCUUUGUGAAUUUCUCGAACCAUGCUCUUGGGGAUUGCUUCAACCCAUACAAUGAUUUCUUCAAUUUGCAUACUUUUUUAUUGAGUCAUUCUGGUCCACUGCAUCCUGGUGGCAAAUCCAUAUAAAUUUCUUCAAACAGGUCUCCAUGGAGGAAAUCAUUUUUUACAUCAAACUGUUGCACUGGCCAAUCCAAGUUGACUGGUAAUGAUAAUAAGAUACGAAUAAUAUUAAUUUUUGCUGCCGGUGCAAACAUAUCAGUAUAAUCAAUCCCGUAGGUUUGGGUGUAACCCUUAGCUACGAGUCUUGCUUUGUAUCGUUCAAUAGAGCCAUCUGCUUUGUACUUUAUAGUGUAGAUCCAUCGACAACCCACUGGUUUCUUUUCUGGUGGAAGAUCAACUAGUUCCCAUAUUUGAUUUUUCUGAAGAGAUCUCAUUUCAUCAUUCAUAGCCGCUUCCCACUUUGGGUCUUUUAAAGCUUCUUGCACACUGUUAGGAAUAGAUACAGCAGAUAAUUGAUUCACAAAUGACUGAUUUGAUUCUGACAAGCGAUGGUUAGACACAAAAUGACUCAUAGGGUAAUUAACUAUACUAGAGAAGUCAGGCUCGUAUGUGGGUUUAGGGAUACCUCUAUUUUGACGUUGGGAAAGAAUUCUUUUGAUUGGACUUGUGGUAGGAACAUCCUCUACAGACGAUUGGUUAGGUAUUUCUUCAUGUGACUCAUUCUCGAUUGCAGUUGUGUCUGAAUUAUUGUGCUCCCCAAAUGUGUCUUCACUUAUCUCAGCCUGAGAAUCAUCACCAUUUGCUUUUCCAGUAUCUUGAAGGUUUACUAUCUCAAUGGAAGAUUGACUUUCUUCAGGUGGAAGAUAUGUAAGAGUAUGAAUUUCCUCUUUAUUAUACUCCCCCUGAAAUUCAGACUCUGACAAGUAAUACAUGAUAUCUUCAUGAAAAACGACAUCCAUGGUGAUGUAUAUUUUUCUUGAUGGUGGAUGAUAGCAUCGGUAUCCCUUUUGAUGUAAGGCAUACCCUACAAACACACAACGUAGUGCUCGAGGAGAUAAUUUGUCUUGUUGCGGCAAAUGAACGAAGGCAACACAGCCAAACACAUGUGGGGGCAGAUUCGGCACAUUUGGUGACAUAAUUGCAUUAUUCAGAACUUGAAAAGGAGUCUGGAAUCCAAGGGAGCUUGAAGGUGUUCGAUUGAUCAAGUAUGCUGCGGAUGCCAGUGUUUCUCCCCAAUAAGAUAGUGGCAUGUGGGCUUGGAUUCGUGAUGCUCGAACAACUUCUAGUAAAUGUCUGUUUUUUCGUUCAGCAACCCCAUUUUGUUGGGGUGUCCCCACACAAGUGGUUUGAUGGACAGAUCCUUGUGAUUUCAGAAACUGUUGAAUUGUUGUGCUCAUAUACUCGCCUCCAUUAUCAGUAUGUAGAACUCGAAUUUGUGUCAUAUGAUCAAAAGUCAUAUGAUCAGUUGCCCCAGAAUCAAUUAUCUAUGUACUAUUAAUAACAGGUGUAAGAGUUUUAAGGGCCAUACCUGGACUGACAGAGGUUGCGAUUUGCACUGAAGAUUCUUUUCUAAGAUCUGUAGUGGAUGUGGAUUCAGCUACUGCAGUUUUUGAUCCAUACUUGGUGUUCUUCUUUCGAGUAUCCUACCAGUCAGGAUAUCCAAUGAUUUCAAAACAUUGUUCUUUCGUAUGACCCUUCUUUCUACAAUGAGUGCAAUGGAGUGAUGACUUGUCAACAAACUUCCUUUGAGGCUGCUGUCGUGCUAUCAUAGCAAACGUUUCUGAGUCGACCUUCUUGUUUAGUUUGCUUUGCCGCACAUCUUCUCUUCAGAUCAGAGAAUAACAUUAUUCUAAGUCUGGGAUAAUUUCUUUUCGUAGAAUUUCUCCACGAACUUGGUCAAAUUCUUCAUCUAGCCUAGCAAGAAAAAUGUGCACUCUCAAUCUUUCAACAGACCUUCUGUAUAUUACAACAUCUUCUGAAUCCUUCACGACCACUUUAUCUCAGUGAUCAAGUUCUCGAAAUAUUUUGAUCAAUUCUCCAUAGAAUUUAGAGAGUGGUUGUCCAUUUUGCUUGGUAGAGAAUGCCUUCUGGUUUAGAGUGAAAACUUGUAAUUCAUCGCUUUCAUCAUAGAAGGCUUUUGAUAAUGCAUCCCAAAUUUCGUAGGUUGUAGGAAUUCGUAAAUAUCGCUUCAUGAUCUCCGGAGACAUGGAUAUGAGUAACCAUCUUUUUGCUUUUUGGUUCUCACUAUACCAUUUCUCAUAUUCCUUUGAAGAUUCCUCAUAUGGCUUUGUACUACUACGAAUAUAUGAGAGUUUUUCUCUUUCUGCAAGAUGCAUCUCCAUUAUUUGAGACCAAACAUCGUAGUUUGUCUCAGUGAGGAUAAUUUUAGCAUUAAAUACUCUAUCAGAUUGAACAGAUUGAAUGACAACAGGACUAGAUUCAGUUGGAGUUUUCUCCAUUUUUUUUUGUUUUUUUUUCGUCUAGAUUGAAAGAAGAAAAAAAAAAUAACCUUUUUAGAUAACAAAACGACAAGUCGUUUAGCCACUGCUUGAAAAACCGACAUGUCAGUUAUGGUGGAAUAUAAACGACAUGUCGUUUUAAUCCUGCUGCACUUCUGGAGACUAAACGUCACGUCGUUUUAUCUCUAAUUUAAAAACGACAUGUCGGUUUUAAUAUAAUAAAAACGACACGUCGUUUUUACUGCUGCACACCGGAGAUAAAAAAUGACAUGUCGGUUUACGUCUUCUUCAACCUCUGGAGCGCGUGAGAGCGCGUGAAUGAUGACAGAGGUGCGUGGUUGACUGGCCGUGGCUUCGGGUGGCGCGUGUGAGCGCGUGGAAAUGUGUUUAAAUGCGAAAUUUUUACAGUUUCCUCACUGGAAACUGAGAAAUGUGAUGGUAUUCUUGGUUUUUUUAGGAACACACUCUUGGAAAAUUGAUGGGAUUGUUGAUAAAUUUGUUAACUCAAGUUUUUUACGUAUGAGUGGCUUGUUUCUUGAUCGGCAUGGAUAUCUGUAAUGGUAGGAAUGGGUUUAAGAAAGAAAAUGGUGGGAAAAAUGGUUGUGGGAGGAAUUUGGUUUCCUCUGUUUUUGUUACAAACAGAGCAGCGGAACGUGAAGAAACUUGAGAGUAUUCAUGGCUCUGAUACCAUGAAGAAACGUGUUUUCAUUUCUUAAAUAAAACAUUAUACACUAAGAGUUAUUUAUAUAUGCAGAGACUACAUUUUUUCAAAGAUUACAUAUGUGAAUACGAAAGAAAAUGUGUCAAUCCGUUCGGCGCGGAUCUUGUCUUUGACAAGUGCAGAUUAUCCUUUUGAUAAGUGCGGAUUAUCCUUUUGAUAAGUGCGGAUUCUGUCUUUGAAAGCUUCAUUCAAUGCCGUUUUAUUUGAUUCUCAACACUUGGUAUUGGACUUUGAAUUGACACAAAGCCGGUUGACUCGGAGAAAUGAUUACUUUGAACAUUUUUCGCAUGCAUCAUUUGCUCAUAACUUUGUUGUUCAUCCACAUGAAAUCAAAUACUCAUUUGGUAUGAUAAAAAUCAAUGGGCAAUCAUUUUUAUGUUAGCUUAAAAACUAGGUUAUCUUUGCAUAACUAUAGUUUUAGAGUUUCUGUUUAUGUACUUUAUGCUUUCAACUUCUGAUGAUGAAUCGAGUGUUGAGCCCAGAGCAAGCUUUCCUGUUGAAGGAUAUUAAUUUGCAACUAAUUCAUCGGUUACACAUACAGUUAGAAAAAUGUGUACCCGAAUGCCAUGUUAUUGCAUUUACUAAUGUAUAGUUCAUAAGCAUGUCUCUCACUGUAUACACGAUUAAGGGUGGGUCUGCCUACUACUUUAUAACAAUUUGGGAUGUUCAAAAUUCAAUUCUAUCUGCUCAAUCCGUCUGAUCCGUAGAAAUCCAAUCUGUAAAAAUUUGAUUCGCAGAUUGGUGGAUUGGAUUGAAAAUUUGAUAAUCUGCAAUCGGUGGAUUGGAUAUGGAUCUACUUCUAUAAAUCCGCAAACAAAUAAUAAGUAGUUAUUUAAUUAAAAAAUAAAACUUAUAAAUAUGACAUUAGUACUUACUAGUAAAUAAAUAAGUUAAAAUAUAGUUACAUUAACACUAUAUUAUAUAUUAUCAAAUAAUAAUAUAACAUAAAAAAUAAUUAAAUAAACAAAUAUAGCUUCCUAAAUAGUUAAUUUCAUAUAUUGAUCUAAACAAAUAAGAUUUUUUUCUUUUUAAUGUGUUAUAUUUUGAAACUUUAAAUGUAUUUUCUAGCUUUAUUUAAAUAAUUAAUUAAUUUAAAUCUUAUUUAAUUUUAAAUUUGAUCGGUAUUAAAAUUAGUUUUAUAUUUAAUUUUUUUAUUUAUUUAGUUCGUGCAUUGGACAGAAUUAAGAAUUUUCAGUCCGUAAACCAACCUACAAAAUGGUGGAUUGGAUAUAGAUCGGGUCAAAUUCGCAUCCGAUCCGUAAACGUAUGAAUUGGAUUUGAAUUUCACCAAUCCAUGGAUUGAAUUAGAUUGAAAAUUUAUAAUCCGCAAAAUCGUGGAUCGAAUAUGAAUUGAUAUCCAAUCCGUAAAAUCCAAUCAGCGAACACCGCUAAUAACAAUUUAUGUUAUACUGACAAUAUUUUCCGUACUGAUCACAAGUUUAAAGUUUUGCUUCUCGAAAUGGCUCCUUUCAUUUGUUUAUUUAUUUAUUAAAAUUGACAUUUUUUAUUUUUUAUUUUUUUGACAAGGAAGGUAAUUGAGGUGUUUAACGAGGGGAUGAUGUUUUCCUUUAAAAGAAUAAAUAAAUAAAAGACAAAUUUUUAUGCUAUGGGGACAAAAUGCCAAUUGAGAAGAAUUCUGUCCCACUAAAAUUGGGUUAAGUAUUUAAUUUGAAUUGGCAUCUAAAACAGUUGUAGGCUAACCAAUAUUUCUACGAAAAAAAAAAGUCAGAAUUAUUGCUAGCUUCUUGUCUUUAAUUUUCUAAACUCUGGGCAGUUGGUGUAGUAGUUUUUGCUGCUCUUCUCUUUGCGGCUAUAGAGGCUAUAGCCGAACGUGAACUAGGAAAGUGGAAACGUUGCACCUUAACAUACGUCGUCAACUACGACUACAAAUCUAUUUCAUGGUCCCAAAAUAUCAAUCAGUGCCAUUGUAAUUAUCAAAACUAAAAAAUUAUGGUUUUAAUAAGUUACAGUUACUAUCCAUGCAAAAAUAUGCAAAACGUAGUAACAUAAUAGUGAGCCACUUAAUUUUUAUAUGGGUUGUAUGUUAUACAAAUUGUAAUUUAGCAAAACUCAAAAAUUAUACGAAAGAAAAAAUUUAUUAAUUUUCUUUUUAACUAAAUGAUUAGAAUACAUUUACUCAUAAUUACCAAAGCAAAAAUUAAGUCAUAAUUAAGGGCUUGUAAAACACUUAAUUUCAAACCACUAAUUUUGGGAGCUACAACAAUAAGAGGAGUUAAGCAACAAUUAAGUGCUUAUAAAUGAUAACUUUUAGUAUUCAAAAACUUACCACAAGCUCAAGCCCAUCUCAUAUGAAUAACGCUGUUGUGCGAUAGGGAUUACAAUUGUGUGACAAAUGACCCUUGAUAAAUUUAGACAACUAGUAGAAAUUAGAAUUUAAAUUCUUUAUUUUUAAGUUUUUCCAAUAUUUCAAUGUUAUUCUCACACAUUUAAUUAAAAUUAAAUAAAUCUUAAGAACAUAUAGAGACAUGUUUUUGUAAUAGGCCUAAAACGAAACUUUAGAAAAUACAUUUUUAUGUUAAUUUCUUUUAGGGUAAGUUUCGCCAUACCCUCUUAUUAAAUUGACACACUUCAAUUCACCCCCGAAAAGUGUGAAAACCUCAAUUACCCCCAAAAAAACUGCUGACUAAUGUUGACUGAUUGAAAUAGGAAAAUACCCCAACUUGUAAUGGGAAAUUUACGAAAAUAAUUAGUAGAUUAUAAAAGAUUACAUGUCUCUUCUUCUUUCUAUUUAAAUUCAACAAUAUUUAACUAUUAAUAAUAAAUUAAUUAUAGUUUUGAAACAUUCAUUUAUUUUAUUAAGCCAACAACUAAACUUUAGUGGUUUAAAAUACAUCAACUAAUUAAUAUAGGAAGGAAUGUUCUUUCAUCUUCCCUCACCAAUACCACUAGAACCUAAUUUUAAUGUCAUAAUUUCAUAUUUAAUUAUGCAACCUUUUAUUUAGUGUCUUUUGACUUCUUCAAACUAUAUAAAUAUUAAGUAUUUAAGAUUUAUUAUGUUUGAGUUUUUUUUAUUAUUUAACCAAUAUUCUCUUUAGAAAUGUUCUUGUGUUUUUAUUUUUUGACUUAUUUAAAUUUUUUGUAUUGUGUGCUUCAUGGAGUAUUCUUUUCUUCAUGAGUUAAACAAUGAUAAAGAUAUUUGGAUGAUAAGGGUUAGGCUUUGUAAAAUGUGGGAGUCUGUUAAUACCAAGAAGAAUGAAGAGUUGAUUAGUGUAAACAUAAUUUUUAUUGAUGAAAAGGUUGUGUACACUUAACUAUACACAUUAAUAUAUAUUUUUAAAGUUAAAAAAAUAAUUAACUUUCAUAAAUAACAUUAGUUUUAUAAGGCUACGUCAUCUUUAAAAAAAAUCAAUUCAUAUUUUUUAUCAAAUUUAUCAAGUGUAAAGUAAUAAAAAAAUAAUACUAAAUUUUUUUUUUAAAAUCGCACGAAGUGCGGUUCUAUUUCCUAGUAAGAUUAUAAUAGUAAAAGAAUUCAAUAAUUGCACUCUUAAUGUUACCAUUUAAAAAUUAUGAAAUAGGUAAUUUGGGAAACCCAUCUGGAGGGAUUUGCUUAACAUCCUUUAAAAUUUUUUCCCAGCUGGAAGUAAUUGCUGAACAUCCUUUUCAAUUCCCGAGUAUUAUCUAAUCAGCUUAUUUUGUCAUUUUUAGGUGUUUGCAAAGGCUUUUGGCAAGGAUACUGGGUUGGCUUACGUGUAGUGGACUGAUCAUGUUGACUUUGUUCGGUAGCACAUUUUAUUUUACGCGUGUCUGGUUGUAACCAUGUCUCUCACUGUAUACACCAGUGUGAGUGGGUCCACCUACUAUUUUAUGACAAUUUAUGUUAUACUGACAAUAUUAUUCGUGCUGAUCACAAGUUUGAAGUUUUGCUUCUCUCGAAGAACUGGCUCCUUUCAUUUAUUUAUUUAUUAAAAUUUACAUUUUUUUUCCGUUUCCUUGCAAGAAAGGUAAUUAGAUUAAAUUUAACGGGGCGAUGAUGUUUUCCAUUAAAUAAGUAAAACACAAUUUUAUGCCAGAGUAGAAAUGGCCAAUCAAAACAAGGGUUAUCCAUGUUCGUGCCAUGCCGUCGUGUGCUUAAUUUUUUUUUCUCGUACCUUGCCCAUAUGUGUUGUGUUGUGUCUAAAAAAAAGUUCAAUAAUUUUUUUUAGUUUUUUAAAAGCACGUACUAAGUAAUUGGUAUAUUUUUUUUAAGUUUAUGUUUUUUUUAGGUCUAUACCUUUAUUCAAAUUUAAUAGAAUUGAAAAUUUAAAACUCAAGUCUAUAUUUUAUAAUAAUAAACUAAUAAUAGUAAGAUAAUGUAAUAUUAAUUUUUAAGUUUGACAUUUUAACAUUAUUUUUUUUAUACUUAACAACAACAACAAUAAUAAAUUUUUCUUAAGGGUUAACUUAAUUGUUAACUUAGACUUACAUAGAGUCAUAGAUCAUAAUUCACAAUAAUAUUAAUGGAUAUUUAUAAAAUCAUAAUAAUUAUAAUUUUAUUUAUUAAAAUCAUGAUAUCAAUUAUAUAUUUAAUAAAUUAUAAAUAUAAAUCAAUUAUAGUACUUUUCAAACUAAGAAUUAAAUGAAUUUAAAAAAUUCAUUUUCAAGUUAUUUGUAAAACUAUAAAAUUUUAAGUUUACUUUCAUUAAAAAAUAAAAUGUGCUUAUUGUGAACUUUUUUAUCGUGCUAUACUUAGUCCAUUUCUAAUCAUGCAGUGCUUUUAAUGCUCGCGUGCUUAAAAUUUUAAGUCUGGCCCAGUCCACGUGCGUACUGUGCCAUACCACAUACCCUACCAAAACGUGCUUGUAUUGUGCCGUGCCACACGAAUACAUGUCGUGCCAUGUGUCAUCCACUCCAUUGGCCAUCUCUACGCCAGAGUGACAAUAUGCCACAUUGAGAAGAAUUGCGUGCCCCUAAAGCUGGAUUAAUAAUUUAAUUUGAAUUAAAUCUAUAACAGUUGUAGGCUAACCAAUAUUUCCACAGAAAAAAAGCAGUUCAAAAUUAUUGGUCACAUCUUGUCAUAAAUUUUUUAACUCUGCGCAGUUGGUGUAAUAGUUUCGGCUGCUAUUCUCUUCACUACUAGAGCCUAGAGAUGGAGUGAAGCAUAAUGGGAAUUAGGAAAAGAGAGCUGCUUCCUUACAAUUAGGCAGGCGCUAAGUUAUGGUUAACGUAACUUAGCGCCCACACACAGCAACAGUACCGCUGGUGGGGCCUGGUACUGUUGCUACGUAAGUUACAUUAAACGUAACUUAGGCCCUCCCUUACAAUUAACGUAAUGUUCUAGGUUAACAUAUCUAAUCAACUACGACUACAAUUCUAUUUCAUGGUCCCAACACAUCAUAUCAAUCAAUGUCAUUAUCGUUAUCAAAGCUAAAAAAUCACAGGAAAGAAAAAAGUUUUUGUUUUAGCUGAAUGAUUAGAUAUUGCAUUUACUCGUAAUUAGGGGUGUUCAGAAUCCAAUUCAAUCUACUCAAUCCAUUUGAUCCGUAGAAAUUCGAUAUGUAAAAAUUCGAUAUGCGGAUUGGUGGAUUGGAUUGAAAAUUUAAUAAUCCACAAUCAGUGGAUUAGAUAUGAAUCUACUUAUGUAAUUCUGUAAAAAUCUGUAAAUCCGCAAAAAAAUAAAAAAUUUUAUUUAAUUAAAAAAUAAAACUUGUAAAUAUGAUAUUAGUACUUACUAGUAAAUAAAUAAGUUAAAAUAUAGUUACAUUAACACUAUAUUAUAUCUUAUCUGAUAAUAAUAUAAAAUAAACAAAUUAAAUAAACAAAUAUAGCUUCCUAAAUAGUUAAUUUCCAUAUAUUGAUCUAAACAAAUGAGAUUUUAUUUUCUUUUUGAUGUGUUAUAGUUUGAAACUUUCUAGUUUUAUUUAAACAAUUAAUUUAUUUAAAUCUUAUUUAAUUUUAAAUUUGAUCGGUAGUAAAAUUAUUUUUAUAUUAAAUUUUUUUAUUUAGUUAGUUCGUGUAUUAGACAGAAUUAAAAAUUUUCAGUCUGUAAACUAAUUAGCAAAAUGGUGGAUUGGAUAUGAAUUGAGUCAAAUUCAUAUCUGAUCCGUAGACGUAUGUAUUGGAUUUAAAUUGAAUUUUAUCAAUCCGUGAAUUAGAUUAAAUUGAAAAUUUAUAAUCUAAAAAAUCGUAGAUCGGAUAUAGAUUGAUGUCCAAUCUAUACAAUUCGAUCCGCGAACACCCCUACUCGUAAUUAAGAAAGCAGAAAUUAAGCAAUAAUUAAGGGUUUAUAAAACAUUUAAUUUCAUACCACUAAAUAUGAGAGUUAUAACAGCGAGAGAAGUUAGGUAAUAAUUAAGCGCUUAUAACUGACAACUUUUACUCUAGGUAAAAGACUUAUGUGUUCUAUAACUAACCACAAACUCAUCACAUAUGAAUAACACUACGUGUUUACUGUGCCGUACCGCAUAUCUUACCAAAACGUACUCAUAUGGUGUCGUACUAUACCGAUACAUGCCGUGGCAUGUGUCAUCCACUCCAUUGGCCAUCUCUGCCCCAAAGUGACAAUAUGCCGCACAAGAAUUGCGUGCCCCUAAAGCUGGAUUAAUAAUUUAAUUUGAAUUGACGUCUAUAACAGUUGUAGGCUUAACCAAUAUUUCUACAGAAAAAAUUGGUUCAGAAUUACUGGUCGCGUCUUGUCAUAAAUUUUUUAACUCUGCGCAGGCGGUGUAAUAGUUUCGGCUGCUAUUCCUUUACCGCUAGAGCCUAGAGAUGGAGUGAAGCAGAAUGGGAAUUAGGAAAAUGGUAAUGUUCUACGUUAACAUACCUAGUCAACUACGACUACAAUUCUAUUUCAUGGUCCCAACACAUCAUAUCAAUCAAUGAACAUCAUAUCAAUCAAUGCUAUUAUGGUUAUCAAAGCUAAAAAUUCACGGGAAAGAAAAAAAAAAAUUUUUUUUUUAGCUGGAUGAUUAGAUUACAUUUUCUCGUAAUUAAGAAAGCAUAAAUUAAGUAAUAAUUAAGGGUUUAUUAAACACUUAAUUUCAUACCACUAAAUAUGAGAGUUAUAACAGUGAGAGAAGUUAGGUAAUAAUUAAGAGCUUAUAACUGAAAACUUUUACUAUAGGUAAAAGACUUAUGUGUUCUAUAAGACUAUAACUAACCACAAACUCAUCACAUAUGAAUAACACUAUUGUGCAAUAGACAUUACAAUUGUGUGACAAAUGACCAUGAAUAACACUAUUAUGCGAUAGGGAUUAUAAUUGCGUGAUAAAUGAUUCUUGAUAAAUUUAAACAACUAAUAGAUAUUAAAAUUUAAAAUUUUUAUUUUUAAGUUUUUCCAAUAUCUCAAUGUUAUUCUCACACAUUUAAUUAAAACUAAAUAAAUUUUAAGAACGUAGAAGAACAUAUCUCACUUACGAGUUUAGAUAGGCCUAAAACCAAACUUUAGAAAACACAUUUUUAUGUUAAUUUCUUUCAUAAAUUUUGCGUUUGACAAGAUAAAAAUAUAUAACAGAUAACCAAACCAAAACUUUUCACGAAAUAAAUAAUUAAUUAGUUAAUCCAAAAGUACUUUGGUUAAUGUGUAGAAUGGGUUGAAUAAAGUAAUUUUAUUUUUGAACAAAAUUUAGUCCAUUCUAAUUUCACUCCUCAAUGGAAGUUCUUUCCACCUUUCGGCUAAUGGACUCUCGCAAUUUAGCGUUAUUAUUAUUAUUACUAUUAUUAUUGGUUAUAAUUUUAAAAUUUAUUGGGAAUUUUGCGGAAGAGUAUGGCGAUUUGAACCCAAAAUUUUGCUUUCUACACCCAUUUUCUCAACACACCCACAACAUAAAUUUGAAAAAUAAAAUUAUACUCUAUGAAUCCUUCAAAAAUCCAAAAAAUAACCCUAUAUUAUCUUCACUUUUUUCUUCCCUCCCCCCUUCUUAUACAGUAUUGAAUGGUGACAGCAACUUUGAUUCACCUUGCUAAUAUUAAAAACUAUCCUAAUUGACAAAUCCAUGAAGAAAUAAACUUUGAUGACGUGCACCAAUAAAUUGAAAAUUUUGAGCCAACAACAAAAUACUGAAUAUAUUACGGAUGGGUUUACAUUGAAAUUGUCCAUUUCUUUUUCAUCCAUUGCCUUUCACGAAAAUCUUUAUAAUUUCAUAUUAUAACUGCAAGAUGCAAAAAAUUCUUCAUGUUUUUUCAUCUAUCGCCAUAAUUGCCAUAGAGUUCAUUAGCUUAAUUAACUAUUAGUUAUACAUAUCAAGGAGUCUAUUUUUCCUUUAAGUCUUGAAUCAUCAAAUUCAAAUAUUUCUAUUGUUCGAUUUUUCUAUCUGAUUGUGUAUUUUCAUGAGAUGCAGAAAAUUAUUUUUAGCUUAUGCAGAAUUUUCAUUUUCUCAGCAACUAAGUUUUUUUUUUUUUUUUUGGUCUGUCCUUAAUGGUAAUUGUCAUAAAGGGUAAUUUGACAAUAAAAGUUUUUGUGAAAUUAUGGGUGUAAAGAGUUGUUUUGUGGGUUUAAAUAGUCCCACCCUUUGCGGAAUUAUAUAUUAAACAUCUAAAUUAAUAGUAUGUAUGAAAUAAAUGGCAUCCAACACAAAUAUAAAUAAUGGCAUCCCACACAAAUAUAAAUAAUAAUUUUACUUGAAUUAAACACCCAAAUCCUAUAUUAUAAUAUUAUGCGUAAGAAAAUUUACGCACACUAUCAUUUUAUUAAAAUUUGGACUAGCUGAAGAAUAUUAUUCAUUCAGAUUUAUCAACCAUAAGUCACUUUGUUAAACCAUGAUUAUUGUAGAAUGAAAAAUCAUUCUUGUCAAGUAUAAAUGGACGAACUGUUUAUUGUCAACCUUUAUAUAGUUGUAUAAAUAAUUAAUCUUUGUAUAACUUAAAAUUAUUGUUUAUUCUAUCAGUCUUAAUGAAUUGGAAGUAGAUGAUUUUAAUUUGCAAAUGGUUUGGCUUCCAUCUUUGUAACUAUUUUAUUAUUUAAAAAAAAAAAGCUCACUAAACAAAUAAAGUUGACCAAAGUAUUCUCUAAAUGCCGACUGCUUUAGUUAACAAAGCUCAAAAACUUUUAAGAAGAAUUGGGCCUGAAGUAAAUCCUUGAUUAUAGGCAAACUGUUAACCUUCAAAAACCAUUUAAAUUGCCUUUCUUAACCCAAAAGUAUCCUAAUCCAAUGUUUGCCAAAUGAUCUCGAACCAAGUCAAAUUAUCCAACUCAUAACUAAAUAGAGGAGAGAAUAUUUUAACGAGGUCAAAUAGUUUCACUUUAUUAAUAAUUUAGUAGAAACCUAAUGAAAGUGAGGGUAUUGGAGUCUCUGCUUUCUUUGUAUUUGAGAGUAUUUUUAUUUAUUUAUUUAUUGUUUUAGAUUUCUGUGCUGUAUUUAUCUUUUUUUUUUCAAAAAAAAAAAUCCUCUAAAACAUUUUACAAAUUCCAUGCGAAUUAUGGAAGAACUUCGGCAUUCUUUAUUUUCUAUAUAUGCGGAUACAAGUAACAUGGAGAGAGGUUCACAAGAAACCUCUUUGAUUAUUAUUAUUAUUAUUACAUAUACAAAUAUAUAUAUAUAUAUAUAUAUAUAUAUAUAUAUAUAUAUUUUUUUUUUUUUUUUUUAGCUCCGAACUUUGCAUGAAGAGCCUUCACUACAUAUGGAUAUGGAUCAAGUUGGAAUGCCCUGGCAAGAGAAAAAAGGAUCAGUUAGUGGAUCGGAUCUAAAGACUGCAUUGGAAUAAUUUUCAAAGUAAAUGAUGUAUUAUUAUAAAGACAUGUCUAAUUAAUUAUGCUUUAUAGAAGAGCUAGCUUUCCACCUAAGGACACAUCCAUUAAUGGUGGCACUUCAUUUGGAAUGGUGAUGGUUUAAUUUGAACUGUUGAUUAAGAUCAAAUCUUGAUCCAAUGGCCAUAAAUAAAAUGUUAUCAUGAAAGGUGACUACCUAAAUGGAAGGGCACAAGUACAUCUAUAAAUAUAGGCCAUGUUUAGGUCAUUUAAACAUGAAAUUAAUGAUCAUAUACCAAUCUUUUCUUAGCCCUCUUUCCUAAAACGAAUUUUAUCAUAUAACAUCUAUUUUUACGCAUCAAAUGUUUAAUAUAUUGUUUACUGCAGGAACAUUAUAUUGAUUCUUGAUAGUCUUGCAACAUUCAAAAGUUUUCAGAUUUGCUUUUGUCAAUGCACAAUGCAAACAAACAAAUAACGCUUCAUUAUAUCCUAGACGCGUGUUUGCUUAAUCCAUGUAUAUCACUCACUCAAUUGGUGGGGCAAAUAACAUCUUAAGAAAAACAACAUUUAUAAUGUGCAUUGAAGUACACAUUUUUUUUUCUGCAAUUUUACAUGUUACUAUUAUUUUCUUUGCACCUAUAAAGUUGUACACACAUUACUUUAUUAUAAUAAAAUCUACCAUUAUUACUGCAAUUCUCUACAUUUGCCAUUUCGCACAAAUAUAUACUGCAACAAUCUUAAGACGCCAUUUGUUCAGCAAUGGCACCAAGUUUAUCUCUUCGACAAUUUGCAAUUCAUUUUGUCAAAUAAGAGCGAUUCGACGGUGGCAACUUUGCACAUCAGUAGAAAAAUUUGCAUUUCUUGUUGACAAGCCUUAAUGUGGUUUAUGUUCUCACAAUACCAUAGCCUCAAGAAUGUGAGGAUGAGAUAUUAGCAGAAGCUAGAGCACAAUAGAAGUAGGAGCAAGAUGACUACAUUUGCAAGGGAGAAAUUUGCAACGCCAUAUCUGAUAUUGUAUCACAACAAACCCACAAUAAAAGAAAUAUGCGACUUAUUGGAGAUUAAGUACAUGAUGGAAGAUGCCACAAGUAUGAAAUCCUUGGCUUCUAAAUUUUUUAAUUAUAAAAUGGUUGAUAAUGGACUUGUGGUUGAAUAAUAUAUUGAGAUUUUGCAUAUUCUUUAUCAAUUCAACCAAGACAACAUGAAGAUGGACGAGCCUUUUAUUGUUUCUUCAAUUAUUGAUAAACUCCCUCCCUAUUAGUAAGACAUAGGAAAAGUCUUAAACAUAACAAAGAGAAAAUUAGCCUGAAAGGUUUAAGCUAAAGUUUUUGUAUUGAAAAUGAACUCAAACUAUAUAAUCUUGAGGAAUAAGCUGCUACGUCCUCUAAAAUUAAUGUUGUGGAGGAGGGGAAGAAGCUUAAGCAUUCUAAUUACCCUAAGAAUAACCAAAAGAGAAAGUUUGAUUCGAAAGAGAAUCAAAAUAAUAAGAAGAAAAAAAAAGGUACAUGUCACUACUGUAAAAAGCUUGGCCACUUCAAAAAAUAUUAUCAACUUCUUAAGAAACAAAAAGAAGUUUCGAACACAAUUUUGCGGCCAUGAUAUUGAGAUUCAUGUUCUUGAAGAUGAUAAUGCAUGGUGGAUAGAUUCUAAUGCAACCAAGCAUGUGUGCAAAGAUCAUAGCCUUUUCACAUCUUACAAAGUAAUGGAUGAUAGGAAUGUUCUUUACGUGGGAAAUUCCUUCAUGCAGCAAUUAAAAGAAAAGGCAAUGUACAACUAGAGUAUAUUUAUGGAAAAAUCUUAACUCUUACUGAUGUUUAUCAUAUACCUAAAGUUAAGAAGAAUCUUGCAUUUGGUUGCCUCAAUAAAUUUGGCUUCAAACCUGUAUUUGAGUAAAAAAUAAUUUAUAUUGUCUAAGGAUUGUACCUUUGUUGGGAAAGGAUACAUGUAUGAGGGAAAGUUUAAACUCAUUAAUAAAAUGAAUGUUUCUUCUACUUACAUGAUUGACUCAUUAUUUUUGUGGCAUAAUUGUUUAGGACAUGGGAAUAUUAGAAGAUUGCAUGAUAUAGCUAAUUUAGAAUUAAUUCCUAAACAUGAAAAUGAUAUGCAUGAAAAAUGUAAAGUGUGUGCAUAGACUAAAAUCACAAGAACUCCUUUUCUAACAAUUGAAAAAACAUAUUCUUUGAUGCAUUUAAUUCAUAGUGAUAUAUGUGACAUGCAUAGUAAUCCUACUAAAGGUGAUAAAAAAUAUUUUGUAAUGUUUAUUGAUGAUUUUUCAAAAAUAUUGCCUAUAUUUAUUGCCUUCUAAAGAUCGAGUGUUAGCCAAAUCUAAAAUUUAUAAAAAUUAAGUUGAGAAUUUUUAUGACAUUAAAAUUAAAUGCAUCAGAAGUGAUAAAGGAAAUGAAUAUGCAUUUUCUGAAUUUUGUGAAUCUAUUGGCAUUGUGCAUGAAACUAGUAUUGGAUAUACACGACAACAAAAUGACAUAUCUAAAAGGAAGAAUAGGACGCUAAUAGAAAUGGUUAAUGUUAUGAUUUUUAAUGUUGGGCUUGGUAAAGAUUUUUGCGAUGAAGCUCUUUUAACUGAAUGUCAUAUCUUGAAUAGUGUGCCUAAUAAGAAAACAAAAGCGAUCCCUUAUGAAUUGUGGAAAAAUAGAAAGCCUAAUCUUUCACUACUACAAAAUUAGUCAAUAAUGACGGUUCUAAACGACAUAAAAUGACGGUUUUAAAACCGUCAUCUUAGGCAGCGACAUUAAAAGGAGUAUACUUUUUAUGACAGUUCAAUAACCGUCAUUAAAUGUAUAUUUUUAAUGACGGUUAUUUUCUAAAACAGUCAUUAUUUAUAGUAACUAUGUAUGUUUUCAUGAUGGUUAUUUCGUAUAACCGUCAUUAAAUAUAUACAUUUAAUGACGGUUAUAUGAAAUAACCAUUAUUAAAUAUACUUUUUCAUUAAUUUUUUAUGACGGUUCUUUUAAAAAAAAAACCAUCAUUAAAUCCAUCAUUUUAAUGACAGUUUAUUGUAAAAACAUCAUUAAAUAUUAAAAUAACAUUUAAUGACGGUUUAAAAAAAGAACUGUCAUCUUUGUUGUUAAAGACUACAUUUAACGACGGUUCUUUUCAAAUAACCGUUAUCAUUGUUGUUAAUUAUUAAAAAAAAAAUAUGACAAUUUCAGAACCAUUUGAAGCCCAUAUUUUAAUUCUAAUUUCCUGUUAAAUUAUUUACAAUUUUUUUCCACAAAUGUUUCAUAUACAAAAAGAUAGCUCUACAAAAAUCUCUAAUAGUCAUUGAAUUUCAACAAAAUAUCAAUUAGCUUUAACAUCAAAAUUCUCACAACUCUUUAAUACCUACUAAUGAAUCUACUCACAACCAACAAAAUUGGCAUGUGUGAGUACAUCUAAUUUCUCAUCAAGUUUUCAAUUGCAAACGAAUCUCACCACCUUUAGCAAUCUACAUCAUUCUUACAAAGAAUAAAUCAAAAUUAAGAUAAAUUCAUAGAUUAUAAGUCAUAAUAAUUAAAUCAUUUUUAGUGACUUAAGUUGCAAACAAAACUUUAAAGUACCAAAUCAUUAUUAAUUAAUAGACUUACAUUAAAUUUAUCAACCAUGUGUUUAUGUAGUAACAAGUUGCUAUGUAUACAUGUAGGCCACUCGCAUUUAACUUUAUCAAUUUCUCCUUGAGUGUAAAUUUCAAUUCUGUACAAAUAAAAAUUAAGAAGUAUAUUACUCUAGUUCCAAACUACAAAAAUAAGUAUUUGAUAAUAAACGACAAUACAUUUUCCAAAAUAGAGAAAAUCACAAAGCUUUUAAGCUUCUAAAUCACAAAUUAUAGGUAAAGCAAUUUAGAAUUGAAAUAUACUAUAGCAAUGAUGACUUACAUCCGCUAUUUGCAUAGACUAUCACUCAAAUCUAGUGAUUCGAUAUUCUCAAUUGAUGAAAAUAUGAACAUGUCUAAAACAAAUCUUGCAUGCUAACACAAUAAUAAAUAUUGAAAAAAGAAUUUGUACCUUUGCCCCUGGUCAAUUUGAUAAUGAUCUCAAAAAUUUUGAUGGCCAUGAGAAAAUUAACUAACGACCAACGCUUUAUUAUUGAUGUUGUCGGAGGAUUACCAAAUUGAGAAGGAAAUGCUAAAUUCUUGAAUGGCGUUGAGAACUUAAAAAUCUGAAAUGGAACAUUUAAAAUAGAAAGUAAAUAUAAUUAUCAAUACUCAAAGAUAGUCCACGCUUUAUUGCUUAAAAACUUGAGUGGAAAAACCCAGCAAAAAAGAAAAGCAAAAACAGUGCAAUUUCACUGGUAUUUUUGCUGCUGUCAUGCAGUAAAAACAUAGUAGUCUUACUGCAAAGUUUUUGCAGCUGUUUUGACUGUAUAACAGCGGGCAAAAACAGCAAAAGAAACUACAAUUUGGCUGCUGUUUUUACUGUUGUCAUGCAGUAAAAUAGAGCAGUCUUGCUGCAAAGAUUUUGCAGCUGUUUUGACUGUACAACAACAGCAAAAAGAACUAUAAUUUGGCUGCUGUUUUUACCGCUGUCAUGCGGUAAAGCAGAGCUGCUGUUUUGACUGUAUAACAGCAGGUAAAACAGAAAAAAAAACUGUAAUUUGGCUGCAGUAAAAACAACAGAAAAACUAUAAUUUGGCUGCUGUUUUUACUGUUAUCAUGCAGCGAAAAUACAGCAGUCUCACUGCAAAAAUUUUACUGCUGUUCUUACUGUAUAAAAAUAGCAAUACAUCACCUUAAAUAAGAGAAAAAAAUUCUUUCAGCUACUACACAUUUAAUUUAAUUUAACUUAAAUCCUUCAUAUUGUAGACUGAGAGAUUGAUUCUAUAGAAUAAAGAGAAAUUAAGAUAAUUCAUAUAUUAUAAGCCAGUAUCUUCACCAUGACUGGCAACUUCCACAAGCAAUUGCUCUUUUCCAUGAGGACUCAUCAGAACUGAAUAAGCAAACAACACCAUUAUAAAAGAAUGAAUAUAUGUCUGAUAUGAAAUGAGCAAAACCUAGGUUAUGAGCAGCACAUAAAUGCAAAAAGAAAAAGGGAAUGUCUUUCUCUGUAAAUACAUGUAGAUAGAUGUUUGCAGAUGCAUGCAAGGGAAAAAAGAAUGUCUUUCUACAUUCUCAAGGCUCCAAUUGAAGCACUAACAGGUACAUUUAUGCAAAAAUAUAAGAAGAAAAAUAAUGUAUGAUACCUGUAGUCCCUGAGGAGUAAGCAAAUGUAUUUCGAUACGUGUACAUUUCCUGAAAGAAGAUUGAACUAUAAAUAGACUGCCAAUGGAUCAAAAUGCACUUUCAACACAAAAUCCAAUUAAAUUUGAAGAUGGCGCAAAACAAUUAGUUGAAAAUUGUACUCGUGACACCGGAAUGAAUCGCAUAACAAUUCUUUCACAGAGCUUUCAGCAACCAUAUAGCUCAAAAAUCAGAUAGCAGCAUACACUAAAUGGGAACAAUUUUUUUUAUCAAUUACAUUAGUAUAAGUCCAAUGCAGGGAAAAAAAUGCACUUUCAAAAUGAAUUACAACUUAAUAACAACAACAAUCAACUAAAAAGUAAGCAAGAAUCAUAGACAAACAAUUUAUAAACCAAAUGAGAUGAAAAUUUCUUUAUUAAAUUAAUAGAAGGUCAGUUGACAGGAAAUAAAGAGAACAAACAAUAAUUAGAUGAAUCAAAACCCUAGAGCAAGAAAAUACAAUAAGAAGGAAGCAUCUGAAACAAGAAAAUGAAAUCAACAGCUCACUGUCUCCCGCGGCCGGCGCGAUGGCUACGGUUGAACGAGCUACAAUGACAACUGCUGUCGAUGAGGUAGCUGAAUCACGAUCAUUGCCGCGAACUAGCUAGGACUCUGAAUCACGACCACGAUCUGCCCUACGAGCUAAUAAAAAAAAUUGAAUCGAUUGGCAGCAGUGGAUGGUGCGUGACUGAUGGGCUGACGAUAGUGAAAUUGACAGAGUGAGACGAUGAGACUGGAGAGGGAGAUGGUGAGACCGUGAGAAAGAGAGAGAGAGACCAACGAUGCAGAGAGUGAAAGUGAGCAUGAAAGAGAGAGAGACCGGAGAUGGAGAGAAUGAGAGUGAGCGUAAGAGACAGAGAGACCGAAGAUGGAGAGGAGAGUGAGCGGGUGAGAGAGGGGGGCGUGGCUGCUGCUGUGCUUGUAGAAUUAGACAGGGGGAUUGCCACUUUCCCCCUACAUAAAUUAACAUAUAUUAUUUAUCCUUCUAUUAUUUUUAUAAUGACUAAAAAUUCUUAUGAUAGGAUAAGUUUACAAUAUUAUUUUUAUUUUUAAUUAUUCUUUUAUUUAUAUUUAUUAUAAAUUAAAUAGAUUACAUGAAUAGAAACUAAAUAAAAAAUUAAGUAUUAAAAACAAGAAAUAUAUGUUUUGAUAUGAGCAAAAAAAUUAAUAAUAACUUUUUUUUAUAAUUAUUUAUUUUGUGAACAUUUUCUUAUAAUAAAUAUUUUGUAAUAUUUUAAAAUUAAAUGUAAAAAGUAUAGGUAAAAUAUUUUAUUAUUUAUCUUAUAAUAAAUUUUUAUUUGUCAUUCAAAUUUUAUUAUAAUAAUUUUUUUAUCAUUUUAUAAUAACUUUCUUAUAUAUUUAUUAUAAAAAAAAUUUCACAAAAUAAAUAAGUACAAGAAAAAAAUUUUAUUAUUAAUUUUUUUCUCAUAUCAAAACAUAUAUUUCUUUUUUUAAUGCUUAAUUUUUUAUUUAGUUUCUAUUAAUAUGAUUUAUUUAAUUUAUAAUAAAUAUAAAUAAAAGAGUAGUUGAAAAUAAGGGUAAUAUUGUAAACUUAUAUUGUCAUGGAGGUUUUUGGCCAUUAUAAAAACAACAUUGGUGAAAAUGGUAUAUGUUCAUUACUGUAGGGGGGAAAUUGGCAAUCUCCCAAUUAGAAAUUAGGUCACGAUUUUUUUUUAGCCGAUUAAGAUUUUUUUUAUAAAUGUUUUACAUAUAAUGACAGUUACAUCCAAAACCGUCAUUGUUAUUUUUUACUUAAAUGACGGUUCUUUACAACCGUCAUUAAUACUUUAAUAAGACAUAUAAUGGCAGAUUUUUAUAUAUAGUCGUAGUUAAAAAUCAGGUUAUAUUUUAUUUUGAUGUUUAAUGACAGUUAUAUAAUAGAACCGUUAUUAUAAAUAUUAUAUUUUUAAUGACAGUUUUUACACAAAAUCGUCAUUAAAAGUAACUAAAAGUAAAACUAUAUUUUAACUUGACACUUAAUGAUUGUUAUAUAAUUUAACCGUCGUUGUAAAUAUUACACAUUAAUGACUAUUUUUAUACAGAACUGUCAUUAAAAGUAAUUUUACCUAGACAUUUAAUAAUUGUUAUAUAAUAAAAUGGUCAUUGUAAAUAUUAGAUAUUAUGACGAUUCAUAUAAUAACGGUUAUCAAAUACUUUUAAUGACGGUUGUAAAGAAAAACCGUCAUAAUAUAUGAGUCAUUGUUUUGCAUUUUUGUAGUCGUGUUUUUACCCAAGGGUUUGGGGUUAAUUCACUAUAAGAAAACAAGUAAUAGAUGACAGACAGUUUGUGACAGAUUCGUAAAAAAAUUAUUUAUAUUAUAAAAAUAUGAUAGACUCGUGAUAUAAUUUCAGUUCUGGAUUAAUGAUGAUUUUAUGAUAAAAUUAUUGUCUAUCAAGAAUUCAUUUAUACAAAUUUAUUCCAUCAAGAAAUUAUGGUAAUUUCAAUAUAAUUUGUGCUGCUACUUAAUUAUUCAUUUUUUUCCCACUUUGUGUCUGUAUGUGUGUGUGUUCUUGUAGUGUUUGUGAACGGGAAGUUCUGCAAGGACCCCAAGCUUGCGAGAGCUGAAGAUUUCUUCUUCUCAGGGCUAGACAAGCCUGGCAACACAGCAAAUUGACUUGGUGUUGAUGAAACAGAUGCAAAUGUUUAGCAGAUUCCAGGACUCAACACCCUUGGCAUAUCAGCAUUCCGCAUUGACUAUGCGCCAUACGGCCAAAGGCCACCUCACAUUCACCCCCGUGCCAGUGAAAUCCUGCUGGUCCUGGAAGGAACUCUUCAUGUCGGUUUUGUGACAUCAGACCAGCUAAAUAACAAACUCAUCGCAAAAGUUCUGAAUAAGGGAGAUGUUUUUGUGUUUCCAAAAGGUUUGAUUUACUUCCAAUUUAACAUUGGAAAAACAAAAGCAGUUGCCUAUUCUGCUCUAAACAGCCAGUUCCCCGGUGAAAUUACCAUAGCCGACACGGUCUUUGGAACUUGUGCGAUGAGUUUGUUAUUUAGCUGGUCUGAUGUCACAAAACCGACAUGAAGAGUUCCUUCCAGGACCAGCAGGAUUUCACUGGCAUGGGGGUGAACGUGAGGUGGCCUUUGGCCGUAUGGCGCAUAGUCAAUGCGGAAUGCUGAUAUGCCAAGGGUGUUGAGUCCUGGAAUCUGCUCAACAUUUGCAUCUGUUUCAUCAACACCAAGUCGAUUUGCUGUGUUGCCAGGCUUGUCUAGCCCUGAGAAGAAGAAAUCUUCAGCUCUCGCAAGCUUGGGGUCCUUGCAGAACUUCCCGUUCACAAACACUACAAGAACACACACACAUACAGACACAAAGUGGGAAAAAAAUGAAUAAUUAAGUAGCAGCACAAAUUAUAUUGAAAAUUAUAUGUUUCAUCAGUUCAGCUUAUGUACCACCAUCCUUGGGGUCAUUGAUGGCUACAAAGAUAUCUUGAAGCGGGCUGGGGUCAGAGGCUGAGGCCAAAGAAGAAGCCAAAGCUAAGAGAGCAAAACCUAUAAGAAAUUGAAUUGCCUUCAUGGUGAUUAAUUAACAGGAUGUACCUAUCUCAAAACUUUAAUCAAGUGUUGUGAUUUGAGAAUCUUGGGAGGGAAACUAGACUAUUUAUAGAACGGAGUCCAUGAACGAGUUUGUGUGUUCAAUUAAUAGUCCUCGAAGCAGGUCAAGACUUGCUGAGUCCUCAGUGCUUAUCUUUGUAAUGUUUUGCGGUCCUCAUUUUCGUUUUUCUUUUUAAAAUUUACGUGUAGAACUUGUUCGGUGGUACACAUCUUAAAUAUAAAUAGCAAACAUACGAAACAAAGUCUGGCUGAUAGUGAUAAAAUCCAAAACAGGUUAGACACGUUUGCGCCAAUCUUCAAAACGAACCGUAAAAUAUAAUAAGAAACAAUAUUUUACGCAUUUUCCAAAGCAUAAUUAAAAUAUAAUUUUUUUCAUUGGAAAGAAACGAAUUGAAGAAUUUAUGAAAAUGGGUGAGAAAGAAAUUCAUGUCUCUGGCAAGCAGACUAGCAGUUGGACGUCGUGUUCUGUAGAUAUCGAUGUUACCGGACUUGUUUGGUUUGUUGUUGGGCUUAAUGAAGAAGCAUUAUUAGCCUUUUUUCCUUUUUCAUAGCAAUUUUCGUAGCUGCUUUAACCAUUUUUAGUUCUAUAAAUGCUUUACGAAGUCAAUGAUGCACAUGUUUUUUUCAUUACGUGUUAAAGUCACAGAUCAUCUGCUUCAAAACGUUAAGACUAGGAUCAGGAGGAACCAAAUUCUUCCAUCUUAUUUUCAGCGGUCACGUUAAUUAGAGCCUGGAGUCGGCACGUUUCGUUAGUGAUAUCCUUUUACAAUGUCAAUUGAUAUAUAUCAUUUCAACUUUAAAAGCUAAUUUUAAUAUUGAAUAAUUUUUUUUAAAAAUCCCUUUUAGUAAAAUCAUGUAGAUUUUGAAAAGUAAAAAAAGAGUAGUUUUUUAAAAUUUUAUUUUGAUAAACACUUUUAUACUUAAUACAAUUUCAUAUAUAUCCUUAUAUAUAAGAGAAAAAUCCAAAAUCAUCCUUAUUAAUUAAAAAUAAAAUUAUUAAUUUGAAAGAGAUUAUUAUUAUUAUUACCAAUUAUAUUGAGAUAACAAAAUAAAAAUAAAAUUAAUAAUAUAAAACAUUUAUUUUAGUUAUCAAUUAUUAUAUAGACACAACUAAAAAUAUUUUAUUUAUAUGUUUAUAAAUGUGUAAAUAAAUUUUAUUCAACAAAUUUUCUCUUCAAUCAUUUACAUUCUUACAUCAUUUUAAUAGUAAGAUUUACCAAAUAAAUACGACUACUUUUAGAACUCACAACAUUGUAGCAAAUGGCUAACCAAUUGUUGAAAACGACAAACUAAUAAUUUCCAGAAAGCAUGUUCUACAAAGGGUUGUUAAAAUGAUGAUUCUGAAAAAUAACGAUGAAUCGUUUACUGAAAACGGUGAUUCGAUAAUUUUUAGAUUGUAACUGUGAGCCAUUUAACAAGAACGGAUAGCCAAAAUUUGUUUUGCAAGUCUUUGGAAAUAAACAGCUAACCGAUAACUUCAAACGGUGAACCGAUUAUUUAAAAUCUUAGCUUAACGGUCAUUUGGACUAGUCAAAAUGGUUAGCCGAUAGCAGUUAACGACGAUCCGAUUUCUCCCAGAAAGUCAACAACGGCUUGUUUUCAGCUUCAACUAUAAAAUGACUCAAUCAAAUUCAAAUGAGAGGUGAUCCAAGAGUUAUCAUUGAGCUUGCAACUGAGAAUACAACCUUUAUUGAGCCUUAAACUUAUUCUUGUUUCAUUUAUUCACACUUUGAGAUUUCAUUUGUAAUCAUAUAUAUUGUGUGAGUGAAAAUUUAUUUGUAAUAUUCUUUACUUUGAGUCAUUGUAAGUGUUGGGAUAGACUUGAAUUAAGAGAUUGGGGAUAAUCUCUUAGUGUAAAGGUUUAUUGACACAUUUAAAGUCAAUUGUAAGUGUUCUUGAAGCCUUGGAGGCUUGAUUAGUGGAAUCCUCAAAGCCGACGAGCUUGGAUGCGUGGACGUGGGCAGGGUUGGCCGAACCACGUAAAAAUCUCUGUGUUUGAUUUUCUCUUCCCUUAUCUUUUUUAAUUUUGUGCUUUGAUUGAUUUUAUUAUUAUUGUGUGGUUUUGUUUGUUUAAAGUUUUAGAAACCCAAUUCACCCCCCCCCCCUCUUGGGUUGCCUAACUAGUAUUUCAAACAAAACAAAAACUUGCAAACAUAACAUAAAACUAGUAAAUCAACACUAACUAUAUAUAUAUAUAUAUAUAUAUAUUGGAAAUGAAACAUAAGACUUGUAAAAAGAAUGUAAAAUAUAUAAAUUACUAUAAAAUAGUAAAUUGAUGUAUUAUUGGUAAAUAAAAUGAAAACUUAUAAAUAUAACGUAAAACAAGUAAAUCAACAUUAAAUGUAAAAUAAAACAUAUAGUUUGUACAUUAUGCCUAAAACUUAUGAAUAAAAGGCAAAAUAAGUAAAUUAAUAUAAGAGUUACUGCAAAAAAAAAAAAUCACAAUUGUAAAAUAAAACUCGUUAGAAUGUUUAUUAUCUUAUAUAUUUAUUGAUUUUUUAAUUUAAAUUGAGUAAUGUUAGUUUUGCAAUUAUGUAAUACAUGUGUUGUUUUAUUAAGUAUGAAAUUUAUUAGGGGUGUUUGCGGAUCAGAUUUUACGGAUUUGACAUCAAUCCAUAUCUUAUCCAUGAUUUUAUAGAUUAUAAAUUUUCAAUCCAAUCCAAUUCACGAAUUGGUGAAAUUUAAUCCAAAUUCAAUCAAUACGUCUGCAGAUUAGGUAUGGAUUUGACCCAAUCUAUAUUUAAUCCCCUAUUUUGCGGAUUGGUUUGCAGAUUGAAAAUUUUUAAUUCUGUCCAAUCCACGAACUAACUAAAUAAAAAAUCAAUAUAAAAAUAAUUUUACUACUGGUCAAAUUUAAAAUUAAAUAAGAUUAAAAUAUAUUUAUUGUUUAAAUAAAGCUAAAAAAAAAUUUAAACUUUCAAAAUAUAACACACCAAAAAGAAAAUAAAAAUCAUUUGUUUAGAUCAGUACAUGAAAAAUAACUGUUUAGGAAACUAUAUUUGUUUGUUUAAUUAUUUUUUAUUUUAUAUAUUAUCGGAUAAGAUAUAAUAUAGUGUUAAUGUAACUAUAUUUCAACUUAUUUAUUUACUAGUAAGUACUAAUGCUAUAUUUACAAGUUUUAUUUUUUAAUUAAAUAAAUACUUUUAUUUUUUUACUGAUUCACAUAUUUUUGCGGAUUUACAGAAGUAAAUUCAUAUCCAAUCCACCAAUUGCGGAUUAUCAAAUUUUCAAUUCAAUCCAAUUCAAUCCAUCAAUCUACAGAUCGGAUUUUUACCUAUCGGACAAAUUGAGUGGAUCAUAUUGGAUUCUGAACACCCCCAAAAUUUAUGAUCAAAAUCGAAUUUUGAAAAAAAUUAUUAUUUUAAUAUUUUUCAUAGUUGUUGUAAAAUGAGGUUAUUUUGCAUCUUUCUACACUUCCUCUAGAACAAUCCUAAAUGGUCUUCAAAUACAAGUAAAAAGUUUGAAAUAACAUAAAGUAUGUAUAAUACUCCAAAUUAGAUCUAAUUUUAUUGAUAAAUCAUAUGUAUGUCUAAAAAUAUAAGAAUAUUUUUUUAUUUUGUUUUUACUUGAUCCACAUCAAGAUAAAUAAUUGCGUUUAAUUAACAUGUGUAAUAAAUGGAUAUCGUUAUAGAAGAUGGGGAAAAAAAGUACAAUAAUGCUACAUAUCCCAAAUAUUAAUCCCAAAACUCAUCCCAAGUGAUGUGGCAGCUGACAUGGCAUCCAACUUAUAAAUUUAUUCUAAAUUAAAAUAGACCCCUCUAAAAUACUUUAUUUUAAAGUAAAUCCCUUUUACAACUAAAAGUCUUUUGCUCUAUCGUUUUUGGCCUGGCUGCAAACUGAACGAACAGAGACGAAUAGAGAGAGUAAGUUCAGGGAGAGCAAAGUUUUCGGUUUCUUCUCACUCAUGACAAGUUCGUUCUUUUACCAAACUAUUUUACUAGCACUCAACAAUAUCAUGUAUUUAUUGAUUCCUUUUUGUUUAUUUUUUUAUUAUUUAUCAUGUAUUUACAUUAUUUUUUUGUGAUUGAGAUAGCAUAUUUUGGUCAAAAGAAUAAGAGGACUGAUGGCGGUGUAUAGAUCUGGUAAAAGAUGGUUGUAUUCGAUGGUAUCAUCUCAUCGCUUUCCAAUCUGCUUGGUUAGUCUGUGGCCUUUUGUAUUAUUGCUUUUGUUUUCUAAUUGAUUUUGAUUUUCCUUCCUAAAUACAAAUAAUAAGAAUAAAGAUUUCAUUUUUCGGUUGCUAGAUUUUGUAUUGAAUAAUUUUCUUCCUCUUUAUCAAGUAACUAAAAAGUUUUUAAUUUUUGUGUUUUACACAUAUUACACUUAAAACGUCUUUACUUUUAUUGCAUUAUGCUCUUGUUCAUUUAUUUUGUGUUAAAUAAUCAUGUGUAUUGUAUAAUUUCUCCACUUUUUUUUUUUAUUUAAUGCUAUAAUUUAAUCUAGGUCAUGUUGAAGAUCACUUUUUUUAUUUUGUUUCACCCUGAUUGCUCCAGUGGUUCAGCUUGCGUGUUUUGGAGAAAAAAUUGUCCAGUUAUCGGCAUUAGUUUUUAAUGCCAAAUUGCAGUUCAUAGAGUAGACAGUGAGGAGGUUGCACAAGCUGAAGUGCUCUUUGUGCUAGAAUGGGCAAGAAAGCAGAGUUAUAUGACAGAAAGUUAAUAGAUUUCGUCCAGUGAUUAUUCAUAUUCAAUAGUUAGUAGCAAUUAACAUAGGGAAGAAAAUAAAUUAACAUUGUAAUUUAUUUCAAUGAAACCCAAGAGAAAGGUUUCUUCUGUAAACUCAAUAUGUACUGAAAAUUAAUCUACACUUAAUUAGCUUUGCCAUUCGAAGAGAAAUUUUUCAGCAAUAUUCAUUCGCAUUAUUAUAAAAAAUUGAAGAUGUACUUCAGUCCUAACUAAAAUGUUCACUCUUUUUUUUCUUUUAAAGGAAAAUUCAUUAACUAUAAGAACAUAAAAUCACAAAGACAUAACAUCUGGAUUGUAUUGUUACUAUAAAAUUGCAAUAGCUCAACCUAUAAUCAUCCAUGCAAUUAAAAAUCCAUAAUUCAUCAUAAAUUUCAGAGCAAAAACUGAACCGUGAAAGUAAUUUAACAAUAAUCUAACAUUAUUGUUUGAUAACAUAAUGUUUUCAAAUAAUUCUUGUACUCCAUCUUUUUAUGUUUGGCUUCUUGCUAGAUACUUCAAUCUCUUUACAACUCUCGAGUGACCUGCAUACGUUACAAAGGAUUAGUUAAAAAGAAAAAGCUAAAGAUUUGUAACUAUGAGAAAAGAUAUUAUUUAUUUAUCUAUGUAGUACCCUAAAUAUAAAAAAAAUGACAUCAACCUAAUGACAAUAAGAAUAACAUACUCCUCAUAAUUAUAUACCAAGCAAAAAGAAUAAAAACACAUUACCUGCAUUGGAUUAUCAGAAGUAACCAUUGCAUGAGUGGUGUUGUUCUCCAAUCCAUAUCUUUGUGUUUCACUACUUAUCAUUUGAGAUCCCUUGAAUAAAAUAAUAUGUAGGAAUUAUAAGUAAUGUAUAAUAAAAUAUUUGAUAAGCAUUUUGGAUAAAAUUUAUUAAUUUCAUACCUUGGUCGUUUUCUUUUGCUUUUUUCUCUGAAUAAUUUGCUCGACCUUAGACUGCCUUCGUUUGUAAGGUGGAGGACCUUUACUUCUAACUGCUAGUGGAGAAAGAAUUUUACCAUUAUGACUGCCACGAACCUCCCCAUAUUUUGUUGUGCCAUGAGCUAUAUUACUUCCACGUUGACUAAUUUCACCCCCACCUCCAUUUAGCAUUAGUUUUGCUUUCAAAUAAUCUAAUACCUCCAACACCAUAUUGCAAUUAUUCUCAUUAUUAGUCGCUAGUUCAGCUACAUCAUAAAAAAAGUUGCACAUCUUAUCAAAUCUAAGUCCUUCAGGUUUUAUGCUCCAAUUGUCAUUACUUACUUUCACCUCAGUGUGACAUCUUUUUAUAUCCUUUCUCCAUCGCCUCAAAAUAUACUGUUCUGGAAUAGAAAAUAUUUCUUUAUGAAUAAGCACUGCAAUGAUGUGUCAACAUAAUAUUCCCUUAAACUCAAAUAGUCGACACUUACAAUUAAUCUCACAAUUAACCUCAUUAAAAGAAACUUCAAAAGGGUCACGACGAUGAUUCUCUCCAAUUUUAACAUCUUCAACUACUACAAACUUUGAAGUUAAAAUAUUUGUUUGACAUGAAAAUAUCUCACAAAAGAUUUUUCCUUUUAACUCUUGCUGAAAUUCUCUGAAUUUUUCCAUUGUAUAAGUAUCUCGGAAUUGCUGCUCCAUGGCAUAAUGAGUAACACAAGGGAUAUUAGAAUUCAAAUCAUUAAAAUCGGCAUGAUUUUCUUUUUCCACCUUGUCCCGUAGUGCAUUUCCAUAUUGUUCAACAAAUUAUUUUAGAGGAGUUUUUGAAUUUACAUACCCAUCAAAGAAUGCAUGCAUACUCUCACUGCGUUGUGUUGUAGACAUUCCUGCCCAAAAUAUAUCCUUCACAUAUGCUGGAACCCAAUAUUGCCUCUCAUCAUACAAGUUUUGCAACCAUUCAUUGUUAUUAAGAUUAUAUUUUUCAAUGAACACCAUCCAACGUUCAUCAAAAUCAGAAGGUAUUAAAUAAUCAUAAACAAUAUUCUGCAUAGUCAACUUGAUCACUUCAUAUUUCUUGUAACCUUUCAAUUUUUCUGGAAACUUUUUCAUUAUAUGCCACAAACACCACCUAUGUUGCGCAUGCGGAAAGACAACUUCAAUCGCCUUUUGCAUGGCCUUAUCUUGAUAAGUGAUUAUGGCAUUUGGAGCACAACCAGACAUACAUUUAAGCCAAGAUCGAAAAAGCCAUACAUAUGUGUCAAUGUCCUCGUUAGAAAUCAAACCACAUCCUAAUAAUGUUGAUUGUCCAUGAUGAUUGACCCCAACAAAAGCAGCAAAUGGUAUAUCAUAUUUAUUUGUUAGAUAGGUUGAGUCAAAUGUAAUAACAUCACCAAAUUCUUUAUUCACUGCUCUACUUCUUGCAUCAGCCCAAAAUAAAUUUUUCAACCGAGCAUCUUCAUCUAAAUCCACCAUAUAAAAAAAAUUGGAGUUUCCAUUUUGCAUUUUUAAGAAAUAAUCAAGAACUGCAGAAGCAUCACCAUCCCCAAGCCGUAAGCGCCUUACUUUGUGUAAAUGAUUCCUACAAUCUUUUUCUAGGAAAGUUAAAUUCUCAUGUCCUCCUGCUUCAACCACCAAAGAAUUAAAGCUUUUAUUCGGUCUUAUUCCUGCUUGAUCAUUCAAAUCCAACUUUCUUUGAACAAACAACUUCAUUACCCUGUUGGUUUUCAGAAAACGAGCCUUACUUGGUGUGUUUAACUCAUGAUUAUGCUCAUAUGUAAUGGAUUUGACCUCCCACUUUCUGUCCAAGCAUGUUGUUGCCCUUACUUUAGCCUUACAAUUUGUUUUGGAUGUUGGUUGUAAUUUAAAAGGCUGGUUCGAUAAAGAUUUUGCCUUGCUGCUGCGUGAACAUGAAAAUGUCACAUAUUUUAACUCUCCAUCGUCUCCUUUGCUAGAGGUUCUUUUAAUAAUUUCGAAUCCCAUUAUCUUCGCAUACAUCUUGUAGAACUCAAACAAAUUUUGAGUUGUAUCAAAAACCAUGCCAAUUUUUGGCUCAAUAAUUUCUUCUGCAUUUGGUUCAUUACUUAUAUCGUUCUCGUCAUCAACCUGAUUUAAAUAAAGCAAAAAUAUCCAACUAAUUAAAAUCAUCGUCAAUUAAUACAAAUUAGAAACAUAUUAAUACAAGGUAUAAAAAAAUAAGAAUAAAAAUUAAAAAAUUCACCUCAUCAGUAAUGAUUUCUAGGGAGUUUUCUAUUUCUUUUGACUCCAAAUCCGUCAUCUCAACUGAAGGUUUUGUUCUUCCUAAAGUUCUUGUCUCUGUUCAUUCAGUUUGCAGCCAAGCAAUUCAAAUUCCAUCAAUUCAUUUUUUCUUUUCAAGAAGUGCAGAUUGUUGAGUGCUAAUAAAAUAGUUUGGUAGGAAUUACAAACCUGUCAUGAGUGAGAAGACUUUGUUCUCCCUGAACUUUCUCUCUAAUUUGCAGCCAAGCCAAAAUACGAUAGGACAAACCUGUUCAAUUUGCAGCCAGACCAAAUUUGCAGCCAGGUCGAAAACGAUAGGGCAAAAGACUUUUAGUUGUAAAAGGGAUUUACUUUAAAAUAAAGUAUUUUAGAGGGGUCUAUUUUAAUUUAGAAUAAAUUUAUAAGUUUGAUGCCAUAUCAGCUGCCACAUCACUUGGGAUGAGUUUUGAGAUUAAUAUUUGAGAUAUGUAGCAUUAUUGAAAAAAGUAUACAAAUUUCCUAUAAUAAAUCUAGAAUUUAUGGUAACUAAUUCAAUAAAACUUAUUCCACUCCUACCCCCAACACUCCCCCACCUCCCUCAAAUUCGAACAGCUCAUCCUGACCCUCGCCCACCACAAACGCUACCAGUCCAUGUGGAAGACCAUCGAACUCAUGAAACCCUACAACCUCUCCGUCUCUCCUCAAACUCUAAUACUGUUGAGGUUUUUAAUAAGUGUACCGCUUUCAAUUGUCAGCAGUGUGUUCUUUUGUAUAAUUCAUUGCUGUUUGCUUUGUGUGAAGUCAAGUUGUUUUAUGGUGCUUAUGGUUUGAUUAGGAGGAUGAUUAGAAAAGGGUUUGUCCCUGACAAGUGGACGUACGCGAUUCUUGUUAAUGCUUGGUGUUCUUCUGGGAAAAUGAGCGAGGCACGAGUUUUUGCAGGAGAUGAGUGAUAAAGGGUUCAACCCGCCUGUUCGAGGUCGUGAUUUGUUGGUUCAAGGGUUGUUGAAUGCCGGUUAUUUAGAGUCUGCUAAACAGAUGGUUAAUAAAAUGAUUAAACAAGGGUCUGAUCCGGAUUUGGAAACCUUUAAUUCGUUGAUUGAGACGAUAUGUAAAUCCGGGGAGGUUGAGUUUUGUGUUGAGAUGUAUUAUAGUGUAUGUAAGUUAGGUUCGUGCGCUGAUGUGAGUACGUAUAAGAUUUUGAUUCCAGCAGUUUCAAAGGCGGGUAUGAUUGAUGAGGCUUUUAGAUUGCUGCAUAAUUUGGUUGAGGAUGGUCACAACCCAUUCCCAAGCUUGUAUGCUCCUAUUAUUAAAGGGGCUUUUAGGAGGGGCCAGUUUGAUGAUGCAUUUUGUUUCUUUAGUGAGAUCAAGAUUAAGGGGCAUCCUCCAAAUAGGCCGGUUUAUACAACGUUGAUAACAAUGUGUGGGCGCGGGGGAAGAUUUGUUGAGGCGGCAAAUUAUUUGAUGGAAAUGACUGAGAUGGGGUUGACUCCAAUUUCCAGGUGCUUUGAUUUGGUUACUGAUGGGCUGAAGAAUUGUGGGAAGCAUGAUUUGGCUGAGAAGAUAGAGCAGUUAGAGGUAUCCCUUCGGUCUGUUUGAUGCAUGUCAAUUAGCAGUUGAAGACGAUUCUUUAAAAGAAUUUGCAUGAAUCGAAAAGAAUGCUUUUAGAUCUCCGCGUUUCCACUCCAGAAUGAUGUGAGUUCUUCAUAUGAGAAGUUAGCUACUUGUUGAAUUUCAGGUUCCAUUUGUUUUUGGCACGUCAGUAUUGUUAAUAAAUUCUUGUUAAUAUGUUUGUCAAGUUGUUCAAUUUAUUUAGUAUUACAGCAUCCCGUAGAUUGUUGCCUUUUUUCCAUGAAAUAUUUGUUCAAUUUAUUUAGUACUUUAGUCUCAAUGAAGCAUGUUGGGGAAUUAAUGUAGAAAUAGGGGUCUUGGUUGUUUUUUCAAUUAUGUGGAUGAAGCUUUGACUUAGGAACCACUACUGUAGUCUAAAGAAUAUCGUUUUCUUCUAUAUCGAUGUGAUUAACUGGGUGAUUUUUGUCAAAGGUGUUUGAAAGUUUUCUGUUGCUGAAAUCUUUCGGUUUAUUUGUUGCAUGAAGCAUGUUGGCGAAUCAAUGUAGAAACAGGAAUCUUGAUUCUUUCUUUAAUUAUGUGGAUGAAGCUUUGAUCUAGGAACUUCUUCUCUAGUCUUAAUAAUAUUAUCUUCUUCUAUAUGGUUAUGAUUAACUGGGUGAUCUUUGUCAAAGGUGUCUGAAAGUUUUCUGUUUCUGAAAUCUUUCGGUUUUAUUUGUUGCAGAUGACAACCUCUAUUUAUUCCUAUGCCCAAACAUGAAACAACUUCGGGUAGUUAGGAAAAAUAUUUUUGUGAGACUAAAAUCCAUAAAUAUAUGGAGCAUCACCUCUGUAUUUGGAGAGCCGUGAGAGAUCAACUAGUCAGAGGUUAAAAGGGUUUGGGAUCCUGUUACAAUGUUUUUAGGUUUUGUUUGGGAAAUUGUGCAGUUUCAACUUGGUUAUUUAGCUUUGCUUCUUCGGUUAUCUGCUACUCUGUGUACGUGGGUUGCUUAUUUAUAAGCACUUCUCAUUGCUUCAUUUCUAAUAUAGAAUGAACCCAAAAUUAUGUAUGAUAGAACCAAUGUUACAAAGAUAGUUCUGGCCUGUUUUGGAGAGGUGGUGCCAAUUUUAGUUCUUAUUUUAUUUGCUUACAAUGAUUUUUGGACUUCUGUUUUAUGGGAGAAAUCCACAAAGGCAGUCUUUUGAAACAGCAAUUGCAUACUCGUGGCGUGAAUGCAGUGACGUCUCUUCAGUAUUUUCACAUCUUUUUAUGCCAUAACCGAGAAAGAGCUUACUGGACCGAAGACCAUGGUGUCGCUCAAAUAUUGUCUUAGAAUUCCUACUAUUGACUUGUAUAUAAACCCACUUUUGGCUGGUGAAGAGUUAAAAGGAGAAUGUACUAGACUCGCAUAUAAAUUAUAAAUUAUAAGCUUUGUCGGAAUCUACGUUCUUUUGGCUUUUGGUCGUUUUCCACCCCAGCACGCCGUUAUUUAUUUUUAAGAAACAAUGGUCACUGUGAUUGUUGUCUUUUCUGGCUUUGUCUAGUGUUUUUCAGAGUAAUAAAUAGUUUGAUUGAUGGACUGUUGGACUGUUGGACUUGGUAUUGGAAUUUGGAUUGACGCGGGAUUAGGAUUCUCUCGUGACGCAAAGGCUGUUGGCUCGGAGAAAUGAUUACUUUGAACAUUUUUCGCAUGCAUGCAUUCUAUGAUUUUUCAUUUGCUUGACUUUGUUGUUCAUCCAAAUGAAAUCAAAUACUCAUUUGGUAUGAUAGAAUCAAUGGGCAAUCAUUUUUAUGUUAAGCUUAAAAAAUAGGUUAUCUUUGCAUAACUAUAUUUUUAUAGUUUCUGUUUCUGUGCUUUGUGCUUUCAACUACCGAUGAUGAACCGCCUACUACUUCAUAACAAUGUAUGUUAUACUGACAAUAUUUUCCGUGGCUCCUUUCAUUUAUUUAUUUAUUUAUUAAAAUUGAUAUUUUUUUUAUCUUUUCGUUUUCGACAAGGAAGGUAAUUGAGAUGUUUAACGAAGGGAUGAUGUUUUCCUUUAAAAGAAUAAAUAAAUAAAUAAAAGACAAAAUUUUAUGCCAUGGGGACAAAAUGCCACAUGAGGAGAAAUGCACGCCACUAAAUUUGGGAUAAUAAUUUAAUUUGAAUUGACAUCUAAAACAGUUGUAGGCUAACCAAUAUUUCUACAAAAAAAAAAAAAAAAAAUUCAGAGUUAUUGGUAGCGUUUUGUCUUUAAUUUUCUGAACUCUGCGCAGCUGGUGUAAUAGUCUUUGUUGCUCUUCUCUUUGCGGCUAAGGAGCCUAGAGAGAUGGAGUGAAGCUGAGCACGAACUAGGAAAGUGGAAAUGUUGAGCGUUAACAUACGUUGUGGGUGAUUUGGUACUCUCACUCCUUAAAAGAGAUCAGAUGUUUAAAUCUCGUUCUCGUAUGAAGUCACCACUUGGACCAGCACUAUACCCUUUACGGACCGAUCCGGUGCGAGCGGAGAUUAGUAUGGGUUGUGGUACAGGCUUAAAAGUGCCUCCAUAAUUGAGACCCACUCAGGACCACCUUGUAGUUCAAAAAAAAAAAAAAUACGACUACAAUCUAUAUCUCAUGGUCCCAAAACAUCCUACCAAUCAAUGCAAUUAUCAAAAAUGAGAUUCACACCACAUUCAGCACUACAAAUAGCACCGAACGGUGCAUUUUGAGGUAACUAUAAAUCACCACUGAAUCGACAAUUGCAACAUACACUGUUCACAACACGCUCUUUCGCUCUCUCCAUCACACACCGCAAAUCUCACCAAGCCACCAAUAUCACCACGCUCCGUUCUUCCUCGGCAGGCUCCGUUCUUACCGUCGGCUCUCGCUCUCUCUCUCCCCUUCAAAUCCAGCAGCGUGGGUCACUUUCUCUCUCUCCCCUCCAAGUCCACUAGUCGUGGGCACUCUCUCUCUCCCUUCCAAGUCCACUAGUCGUGGGUCACUCUCUCUUCCCACUAAAUCUAGCAACCGCAGGUCACUCUCUCUGUCUCCCCUCCAAAAUCCAGCAGCGUGGGUCACACUCUCUCUCCCCCUCCAAACCCAACGGCCGUGAGUCACUCUCUCCCUCCUUCAAAUCCAGCAGCCAGGGUCACUCUUUUUUCCUCCGAAAUCCACAGCAGCCGUGGGUCACAGCUGCCAUUGUGUCGUUGUCGACAGCUGUCGUAAUCGACUUCUGAAGGUAAUUUGCUUCCUUAGAAUAUCCUUAUUUUAAUAAUUUACUAGUUAGAAACUUAAAGUAUAACCAGGUAUUUUCCUACACUAAUUUUUUAUGCACCAGUGUAAAUAGCUAUCUCAAUUCUGUAUUCUGAGUAAAAUGCUGGAUCUAAGAUAUUAUUUGCUUUUGUGGUGAAAAUUUGGCUGCCAGAAGAAGCAACAAUCAUUAAACUUAAUGAGCCAAUGUCAUUGACUUUUGCUCUGAGAUACAUGAAUUCAUUCACAAGGGCUACACCAUUGUCGAAUACUGUUACUACCAGCCUGUCUUCAGAACUGCCUGUUGUGGUCGAGUAAAAGAUUGCUGAGAUGGGUUAUAUUAGAUUCUACUUGGCUCCCAAUACAGAAGAAGAUGAGGAUGAGACCAAGCCUCUAGCUUAAGUGUCAUUUGGCACAUAGGCUAUGGCAUUUUUUUGAAUCAAAUUACUCCUAUAUUUUAAGUUUGCUUUUAGAAUAUUUCUCGUAAAUUUUCAUGUUGAAAAACCAAGCAUUUAGUUCAGUAGAUUGAUAAAAAUUCAUUUCUUGUGCUUGCCUUUUUUAUCUUAGUACUGUUCUACAUGUAAUUGAUUCAUUUGGCUUUGUUGCUUUGAAAUGUAGGCUUUAAUUGAGUUGAAAUUUUCAGAAAUUUAUCAAAAAUGAACCAUAAACAAAAACUUCAGAUUGUUUGCUUAUUAUAACAAUGGCAAAGUUAUAGAAGAUAGCAUUAUAUUGGGUGACAAAAUGUUCUUAUGGAUGAUCCUGAUUAAAUUGUGUAUUUCACAAUGUAAUUACUUGUUGAUCAAUUUAAUUGAAUUGAUUAACACAUUGGUUUGAGUUUUAAUACUACUGCUCAGUUUUUGGGUUAAUCGAAGAUUGCAAUUUUGCAGGAACUGGUAAAUUGGACACGAUAACAAAAAACUCUCACGUAUUACCGAAAUGAUAGCUGUGAUACUUCAGCCCUUAUGAAUAGUACACAAUGGUUGCAAGCAAAUUAAUUAAUUCAUAACUUGUAAAUAAAUAAACCCAAAAAAAAAAUUAAAUGAUGGAUAAUAUGAAGGAAUCAAAUCCAGAUUUUUCCUGCAACAAACUUCCCGGAAACAAAAUUUGGUGAUAUUCCUCAAACUGAGAACACAACCUAGUGCUAUUUCCUUUGUUUGAGGUUUCUUUGUUUUUCAACAUUGAUCUAGCUAUCUUGUUGCUUUUGUUAAUGUGGACAAAACAAAUUAAUAGUGUUUAAAUUAAUUCCUACAUAUGUAUUGGCGAAAAUCAUUUGCUCUGUUUCUUGGCUUCAUUGUAGAGGACGACCCCAAUUAUGGUGAGAGUCCAGCCAGACAUCCCAGUUAUAGAUACCGGAUUUCUGAAUAUAUGAAUUGAUACAACCACUGCAAUAGCUCCUUUUGCAGUUCCAAGAACCUGAAAGCCAAACGCACUUGGUAUGUCUUAAAAUGAUGUACUUGAUUGAACUAAAUUCACAAAAAUAUUACUUAAAGAGUUAAGGCAUUGGCGUUCUUAGUGACCAAAAAAUUGGUCAAAAUGACAAAAUAUGCAAGGAAUUGAAGAUCAGAUACCAUAAGAACUCCACAUCUUGUUUAGCAAGUGCAAUUGUGAUUCCAACUACAACGUUUUCCAUUAUUAGUACAGCAGGAAGAAGGGACAUAGCAGCUACUGGAGCCAUGUCCAUGAGAAGGUUCAUAGAAUUAAACGUUUCUUUGAGACAUCAACCAAAGUACAGAAUAGGUAACAAAAGUACAAGUGAAAAAUGUUCAGAUUUCAAGUAGGUAAGCUCAAAGAAAUCUGAUAUACUUUAGAGGAGAGCAAAAUCCUUUGUAGGACUGUCUGAAGUGCCCAAGCUGGGAUGUCUGGCUAUAAGUCUUACCCCACUGGCAAUAAUAACGCCAGUAACAACAGGAAUAAAGGUCACAUAAGUAAGCCAGCCCUCCCUCUUGAGGGUCAUCAAAUGAGCAAAAACCGCUGUGAAAAACGGCGUUGUAGCCCACACAGCCUGAUUAAACAACACUGGGAGAGUGAAGCUGCUAGUCAAAUUUUUGAGACAGCUGAGAGAGUGAGGUGUCAUGAGAGAUGCAAUUGACGGAGAAGAGAGAGAGGAAGCCGAUGGUGAGAAUGGUGUGGAAGAGUGGAGCAUGGUGAGAUUGGUGGCUUCGUGAGAUUUGUGGUGCGAGGGAGAGAGGGACAGAGCGUGUGUGUUAUGAACGGUGCGUGUGUGUUGUAAUUGUCAAUCCACAGUGACAAUUUAUACUUACCUUAAAACACGCUGUACGGCGCCAUCUGUGGUGCUAAAUGUUGUGUGAAUAUCGUUAUUAAUGUAAUUAUAGUUACCAAGCCUAAAAAAUUAUUGCUUUUGCUUAGUCACGGCUGGUUGUAAGUUAUUCUCUAUACAAAAAUAUGCAAAAAGUAGUUACAGGACGGUGGACCCACUUAAUUUUUAUAUGGACGGUAAGUAACACAAAUUAUAAUUUAGCAAAACUAAAAAAUUAUAGGAAAGAAAGAAUUUUUUUUUUUUUUUUUAGCUAAAUGAUUAGAAUACAUUUACUCAUAAUUACCAAAGCAGAAAUUAAGUGAUAAUUAAGGGCUGGUGAAACAUUUAAUUUCAAACCACUAAAUUUGAGAGCUACAACAAUAAGAGAAGUUAAGUAACAAUUAAGUGCUUAUAAACGAUAACUUUUACUAUAGGUAAAGGACUUAUGUAUUCAAUAACUAACCAAGAGCUCAAGGUCAUCUCAUAUGAAUAACGCUGUUGUGUGAGAGGGAUUAUAAUUGCGUGAGAAAUGACCCCUGAUGAAUUUGGACAACCAGUAGAAAUUAGAAUUUAAAUUUUUUUUAUUUUUAAUUUUUUCCAAUAUUUCAAUGUUAUUCUCAGACAUUUAAUUAAACUUAAAUAAAUCUUAAGAACAUAUAAAAACAUGUUUUUGUAAUAGGCCUAAAACGAAACUUUAGAAAAUACAUUUUUAUGUUAAUUUCUUUUAAUUAUUUAUCUGUUACAUACAAAUAUGAUAUGAAUGUGAGAUAAACUCUUUCAUAAAUUUUGUGUUUGACAAGACCAAACCAAAACUUUCACGAAAUAAAUAAUUAAUUAGUUAAUCCAAAACUACUCUGGUUAAUGUGUUACAUGUAGAAUGUGUUUGAAUAAAUUAAUUUAUAAUAAUUUUAAACAAAAUAAAUUUAGUCUAUUUAUAUUUCACUCGUAAAUGGGAGUUCUUUUCACUCUUCGGCUUCUAGACUCUUGCAAUUUAGGGUUAUCACUAUUACUACUACUACUACUACUACUACUACUACUACUACUAUUAUUAUUAUUAUUAUUAUUAUUAUUAUUAUUAUUAUUAUUGUUCUUGGUCAUAAUUUUAAAAUUUGUUGGGAAAUCUAUGGAAUUAUAUAUCAAACAUCUAAAUUAAUAAUAUGUAUGAAAUAAAUUGCAUCCCACACAAAUAUAAAUAAUAAUUUUACUUGAAUUAAACACACAAAUCCUAUAUUAUAAUAUUAGGCGUAAGAAAACUUACACACUCGACCAUUUUAUUAUAAUUUGGACUUACUGAAGUAUACUAUUCACUCAGAUUUAUCAACCAUAUAUAAGUCACUUUAUUAAACCAUGAUUAUUGUAAAAUAAAAAAAUUUUUGUCUUUCAAUUGUAAAUGGACGAACUGUUUAUACUCGACCUUUAUAUAAUUGUAUAAAUAUUAACCUUUGUAUAACUCAAAAUUAUAGUUUAUUCUAUCAAUCUUAAUAAAUUGGAAGUAGAUGAUUUUGAUUUGCAAAUGUUUUCGCUUCCAUAUUUGUAACUAUUUUGAUUUUAAAAAUUCAAUAAACAAAUAAAGUUGACCGAAGUAUUCUCUAAAUGCCGACCAUUUUAAUUAACAAAACUUAAAAACUUUUAAGGAGAAUUGGGCCAGCAGUAAAUCCUUGAUUAUAUGUAAACUGAUAACCUUCAAAAACCAUUUAAAUUGGCUUUCUUAACCCAAAAGUAUUCUAAUCCAAUGUUUGCUAUAUGAUUUCGAACCAAGUUCGAUUUAUUCAAUUCACAAUUAAAUGACGAAGAGAAUAUUUUAAUGAGUUCAAAUAGUUUUACUUUAUUAAUAACUUAGUAGAAACCUAAUGAAAGUGAGAAUAUUGGAAUCUUUGACUCUCUUUGUAUUUGAGAGUAUUUUUGCUUUUUUAUUUAUUGUUUUAGAUUUCAAUGCUAUAUUUAUUUGGUUUAUUAAAAAAAGAAAAUGCUCCUUCAAAACAUUUCAUAAAUUCUCUGCGAGUUACAUGAGAACUACGACAUUCAUUAUUUUUAUAUAUGCAGAUACAAGUUUUUUUUUUUUUUUUGAAUGAUAUAUGCAGAUACAAGUUGAUCGUUAUUACAUUUUCCAUAUAUAUAUAUAUAUAGUUGUUUUCUGGUUAUGCCUUUAAAAUCAUGCCGUUUUAAAGUUUUCCUAGAUUAUCCCGCACUUUAAAAUUUCGGAUUGGAAUAUUUCUCUCUCUCUAUAUAUGUGUGUGUGUGUGUGUAUUUGAAGUUUUUUGGUCCGAAAUUUUAAAAUACGGGAAAGUUGGAGAAAGAUAUUAAAUCCCACGGUCUAAGAGCAUUAUGAAAUUAUACCCUCAAACAAUACGAUUUAAGAGAUUUCUCAAACUUUCCUAUACUUUAAAAUCCUUGAUUGGAACAUAUAUAUAUAUAUAUAUAUAUAGUAACUAAACUAUGUCUCCAGGCAACUAGUUAGCCUUGAACUUUGAUUGAGGAGCUUUCACUACAUAUGGAUCAAGUUGGAAUGCCCUAGCGAAAGCAUAAGGAUCAAUUGGUGGAGUAGAUCCGAAGAUUGCAUCUGCAAUUGUAAUAACACCAGGAUUCUAGUUGCUCAAAGCAGCAGUGGCAAACGGCACUGCUUGGUCCAAUAUUCGCUUGGAAAUGAAUGAGCCCAAUUGGAAACACAAACACGUCUCCUUUGUUCAGGGCUCUGGCGAAGAGCGUGUUAUUUAGCUGGUUUGAUGUCACAAAACCAACAUAGAGAGUGCCCUCCAGGACUACUAGGAUUUCUCUAGCACAAGGGUGAGUGUGAGGUAUGUUUGGCCGCCGUUUGCCACGUAGUCGAUACGAACUACGGAUAUGCCGAGUAGUGCUGAGCCCUCGAAUCUGUUCUAUAUUUACAGUCGUGACUGUUGAGCCAACUUGCUUUGUUGUGCUUUUAGGGAUAUUGUGCCCUGAAAAUCAAUCAAAACUACUUGUUAAAAAGAUUCUGUUUCGUUUUUAACUUUUUUCGUGUCUUUUACUAUUUUACCCCCAUAAUUAGACUUUUGAUACACAAAGGUCAACAAUUAAUCAAUAAAAGGAAAAAAUUAAUCAUAAGUCUGAUUUUCAUGGUAAAAUAAAAAAAUAGACAAAAAAUUAGAAAGUUCCUGUACUCAUUUUAAUGCCAAAGAGUAGUAAUGAGUUUUGAAACAUAAGGAGAGAAAUAAUAGAUCUACUUGAACAAUAGGAGGAUUUUGAUCAUUUUCCCACUUAUAUACAGAAAAACGAUACACAUCACAUGUCUUGAACUUGAAAUCAUUGAUGUCAACACAACCAAGAGGACAGAAGCUACAAGAAAUUGAACUCCUUUCAUGUUGAUUACUCUAGGUAUGUGUCAAUAGGGCAUAAGUAGCCUUUCAUAGUCGGAUUGAAUUAUAAAGAUGCGAAGACUUACCAAGUUUAUUGGUUCUUUUUUUUUUUCAUGCUUUAUAAAUGAAGAUUAGUGAGUUCUCCAUGAGACUAUCCUUAGAUAUUUAUUUUUUUAAUUUGAUAAUGUUCAACGGAUAAUUUUUUAAUUCUGUAUUUGUUGUAAGUGCUUAUUUUUCGUACAUCUAAUCUUCAUAUGUCGGCUGCUGCUAGUGUAUAUCGACUAGACUGACACCACUACUAGAAAUUGUUUAUGAUCAAUGUAAAUAAAAAAGUGGUGUUUUGUUAAUAUUGGGGACUGUGGUCGUUCCGUUCAAAUAAUCUUCUAAACUUAAAAUGUCGUUUGAUGAACCAUAUAUAUGUCACAUAGAUUUACUCAUUUAUAAUAUUUUAUAUAGCACACAGUACAUGGAACAAGAAUGUGUGGAUAGUCUAUCUCGAAUGAUCUAUCUCUAUGUCAUAAAUUAAUCUUCAAUCUGAAAAUGUACAUAUGCACUCCUAAGAUAUUAAAAAACGUUUCAACAUAUUUUCAUACUUAUAUGAUCAUAUCAUUUUUUUUUCCUUCCAAGUGGGAAAAUAUUUCAUGGUCUUGGAUAGACAUCCACCCUCUUUGUGGUGUGCAUGAGUCUAUUAUUUUUAGCAAUCUAGGGAAGGAUGAUGGAUGAGGAGAAAAAGAUUAUUUAUGAAUUGACUUCUGUAAUACUGAUAUAGUCACAAAUUUAAAGAAGUAACGUUACCCAAACAAAGUCUGUACCUCAACAAACAUGAGACCAUUUAAUUCAAAUCUACCACAUGAUUAUGUGAAAUGAUAGUUAAUAAUUCAAAUAUUAUAAAUAUACUAGAUGAUUUUAAAUGUCAUGUCAAUUUAUCUCUAACUACAUAAGUAAAAUAUUAUUGUUUGAUGAGAUAUGUUGAUAUAUAUAUAAUUUUCUACCUACUCAUAGUUUACGUUCCUCGACAAAGUGUUCGGAUCUUUCUUUUUUUAAUUUUUUUUUUUUUUUUGUGGCAAAAUUGUGAAAACAAAAUAAAAGAGAUGUUCAUGGUCAAAAAUUCUUUCAGCAAGGAUAAUCUGGUCAUCAGCAUCAGCUGUUUAAUAGAGAAGGUUAUAAAAAACCAAAAGCAAAGUUUUUGAAAACUAGAUAGGUCGUACAGGGAUAUUGACAUGGCUUGAAAGUAUGUUAAUGCUUCUUUUUCUUUUCUUCUCGUUAUAAGCACACAACGACAUAAUUAAUUGAUUGAUGAAAAAUCGAUGCUUUAAAGCGACUGAAGCUUUAGUAGUCCCAGCAAAAAAUUUAAACAAAGUCAGUACAUCAAAUUUUCAUUGAUUGCACCUUUUUUUGGCCAAAAUAACUCCAACAAGUAAGAACCCUCUCAGUCAAAAUUGUAAAUCACUGUAAUAAAAAAUUUUAAAGUCCUAUGUUAUAUUCUCCGUACAAGAAAUUUUAAAAUACAUUAAAGGAAAUUCAACUAAUUGACAUUUGUAUAAUAUGUAUGUUAAAUUUUAUAUAAUUACACUUGUAUAGUAAUUUUUCAAAAUAAAUUUACAUAUGGCAUAAUUUCAUUUAUUUGUUGUAUGAUUGAUAUAAUAUUUUAAAAGUACUUUAAAUUUUCUCUCUCCAUAGGGUUUUAAUUUUUUAGUAGCUUUAUUAUUUGACAAGCCAUCUGAAGCAGCUUUUUUUUCUCGUAUUAUAUGUUUCCGUAAGAGAAAUCUGAACUUUUUUUUUUUUGCUCUUUUUAAACAGUUUUAGUUUAAAUAAAAGUGUUGAAUUUUUAAUUCGAAUUCAUGACUAGUUUGAGUGCUUUUGGCUAGGGGUGGGCACGGUUCGGUUCGGAUCGAAAUUAAGUACAACCGAUUUAAAUCGGUUAUUUUAUAAAAAGAACCGAAUAAGAACCGAACUCAAUAAGAACCGAACUCAAACGGAUCUUUUCGGAUCGGUUCGGUUUUUUCGGUUCUGAGCCUAUUAGGCCUAUUUUGAAUUUUCAAAUUUUUAGCCCAUUGGGCCUUAUAAAUGUAAUAAUUUUUUUCAACAAUUAGUUCAUCCUAAUUUCAUUACAAAUAUUAACAAUAAAUACAAAGUAUUCAAAGCACAUUUUAUCACUAAUAUCUUACUAACUACUAAUAAGGUACUCACAAAAUAUAAAAUAUUAAAAUUUCAAAAUACAUAACCAAACUCCAAUACUCCAUCUACAUAAACAUAAUCAUAAUGUUGUAAAGACAAAUAAAAAUAACAACAAUUACAACUUACAACACAAAAUAAAAAGAAAAUUUAGAAACAAACGCCAACAACAUUCUCCCAUCUUCAUCAAUAUCAACAUCAACUUUAGGCAUUUUCCAACUCAAUAUUUGGAUCUAUAAAAAAAAUUUAACACAUGUCGAUUUGAAUAAAAUCUAAAAUUAAUUCGGUUUUUCGGUUUGGUUUUUCGGUUCAGCUGAGUGAACCGAAUACCGAACCGAUAUUUCGGUUUUUUUACAAAUGAUAUAUUUCAGUUUUUAAAAAAAUAAAAACCGAUCCGAAUUAGAAAAAACCGCUAGUUCGGUUCGGUAUUUUUAAGACCACGGUUUUUUUGCCCACCCCUACUUUUGGCAAGAAAGUUUGUUAUGCGUAGCGCACACUAACGGAAGUUAGUUACGGCAGUUGCUGCUUUGACUUUUGGUUGACCUAAGCUGUUAUAUAGGCUGAUAAGCAUAGUAGGUUCAGGAGCUUGUAGUUAAUUCAUUUCUCUGAGUUAUAAAACACUUGAUGACUCAUCAGAAAUCUGAUUGUAAUCUCUUUAAAUAUGAACCCUUUACUCUUAAUGAAAAAGAGCUUGAAGAUGGCUUACUGUGCAUAAACAUUGGUGGUUAGUGUUGAUAAUUUACGUGUGUGCUCUGCAUUCUGCUUGCUAGUUGUGUUUGUCUUGAUUAUUGGGGCAAAUUUUUGUUGCUAGUUGUGUUUGUCUCAAUUAUUGGGGCAAAUUUUGGUUGUGUUAGGAAAUUGAUGGGUGAAAUAGACACAUAACUAAAAUGAAAUUGAGAAACAAUGAUCACAUAGGGACACUAAGAUUUACAUGAUUCAACUUUUAGCCUACAUCCAUGGUGUUGUGCAAAUUUUAUUGAACUCGCAAGCGCAAAAAUUUAUUGUAGUAUAAAUUUAUAGUGACGAGUGUCGAUCCCAUAAGGAGGUAGAUUUAAUCAUAUGUAGGGUUAAUUUUCCAAGUUCAUAUGUGUAUUGCUUAGAAGUAAUUUCUUUAUCUUAAGAUUUAAAAUAAAAUGACAGGAAUGAAUUAAAGAUGAAACUAUACAAAUGAAGUGCUUAAGUUUUUAGAUUCACACUCAACACUUCACUAUGGACUUACUAUUCUUUUUUUUAGUUCCAAUUAAUAUAUGAGGGGUAUUUCCACUCCUCAUAAGCCUCAUUCUAAUAAAUAUAGUAUCAAGCACUCAUUCUUACUACUUACUAGAACGAAACCCUUAUUUAUAGGCUUCACGUUCCCUCUUCCUCUAAUUUUUUUUUUUUUUUAAUAAAAGACUUAGUGGAUGUUGAAAGUUACACUAAUAAUAUGCUACUUACUCAUAUCUCCCAGUUACUCAACAAAUUAUGCCAAAAGUCAGAAUGUUGCAUGAUAACCACAUGCAAUUACUUGCUACAUGCAUGCAUAUGUUCGACAUUAUGUGUCUUUGCUCUUAUCAAGCGACAUCAGCAGGUCAUCUAUCAAUUGAUCUUGGGGCUUAAUAUAAUCUGUUUCACAUCAGAUUUUGCAUAACAAAAGUAACGAAGAGAUUAAUUAGAAUAAAUAAAUAUAUAUGUGUGUGAAUGUACCGACAAAAUAUAUGUGUAAGGAGAGGCAUGGGAAAGGCUUGGCUGCUAAAUAAAAACAACAAUAAAUUAUGUUUAUUACAUGGCUACAAUCAGCCUGGAGAGAGGUUCAUCAGAGACCUCUUUUAUUACAUUAAGAUAUGAUAAUCUGGAGUUAAAACAAUAAAGCCACUAGUGAAGAGGCCAUUUAUAUUAAAGCUCAUUAAUUCCUUCUCCUAAUUGCCAUUAAUGAACUUAUGCUGAAGAUCUAUCACUGUCUUUGGAUCCAACUGGAAUGCCUUGGCAAGAAAAUCGGGAUUGAUUGGAGGAUUAGCUCCAAAGACCGCGUCGGCUAUGGUAAUUUCACCCGGGAACUGGCUGUUUAGAGCAGAAUAGGCAACUGCAUUUGUUUUUCCAACGUUGAAUUGGAAGUGAAUCAAACCUUUUGGAAACACAAAAGCAUCUCCCUUAUUCAGAACUUUUGCGAUGAGUUUGUUAUUUAGCUGGUCUGAUGUCACAAAACCGACAUGAAGAGUUCCUUCCAGGACCAGCAGGAUUUCACUGGCACGGGGGUGAAUAUGAGGUGGCCUUUGGCCGUAUGGCGCAUAGUCAAUGCGGAAUGCUGAUAUGCCAAGGGUGUUGAGGCCUGGAAUUUGCUCAACAUUUGCAUCUGUUUCAUCAACACCAAGUCGAUUUGCUGUGUUUCCAGGCUUGUCUAGCCCUGAGAAGAAGAAAUCAUCUGCUCUCGCAAGCUUGGGGUCCUUGCAGAACUUCCCAUUCACAAACACUACAAGAACACACACACAUACACACACAAAGGGGGAAAAAAAGAAUAAUUAAGUAGCAGCACAAAUUAUAUUGAAAUUUAUAUGUUUCGUUAGUUCAGCUUACGUACCACCAUCCUUCGGGUCCUCGAUGGCUACACAGAUAUCUUGUAGAGGGCUAGGGUCAGAGGCAGAGGCCAAAGAAGAAGCCAAAGCCAAGAGAGCAAAACCUAUAAGAAAUUGAAUUGCCUUCAUGGUGAUUAAUUAACAGGAUGUACCUAUCUCAAACUUUAAUCAAGUGUUGUGAUUUGAGAAUAUUGCGAGGCAAACUAGACUAUUUAUAGAACGGAGUCCGUGAACGAGUUUGCGUGUUCAAUUAAUUAGUCCUCGAAGCCGGUCAAGAUUACUGAGUUCUCAUUGGUUAUCUUUGUAAUGUUUCUCAGCCUUCAUUUUCAUUUUUGUUUUCAAAAUUUACACAUCUUAAAUAUAAAUUGUAAAACGUACAAAACAAAGUCUGGCUGACAGUGAUAAAACCCAGACAGGUUAGACACGUUUCCGCCAAUCUUCAAAGCGAACCAUAAAAUACGAUAAGAAACAAUAUUUUAACGCGUUUUCCAAAGCUUAAUUUAAAUAUAAUUUUUUCAUUGGAAAGAAACGAGUUGAAGAAUUUAUGAAAAUGGGUGAGAAAGAAAUUCAUGUCUCUAGCAACAGACUAACAGUUCGGAGUCAUGUUCUGUAGAUGUCGAUGUUACCGGACUUGAUUGGUUUGUUGUUGGACUUAAUGAAGAAGCAUUAUUAGCCUUUUUUUUUUCUUUUUCAUAGCAAUUUUCGUAGCUGCUUUAACCAUUUUUAGUUCUAUCAAUGCUUUACCGAGUCAAUGAUGCACAUGUUUUUUUCAUUACAUGUUAAAGUCACAAAUCAUCUGCUUCAAGAAAAAACGUGAAGACUAUGAUCAGGAGGAACCAAAAGUCUUCUAUCUUAUUUUCAGUGGUCACGUUAAUUAGAAGCUGGAGUCGGCACGUUUUGUUAGAGAUAGUGAAAUCCUUUUACAGUGUCAAUUGAUAUAUAUCAUUUCAACUUUAAAAGUUAAUUUUAAUAUUUGAUAAUUUUUUUUAAAAUCGCUUUUAGUAAAAUCAUGUAGAUCUUGAAAAGUAAAAAAAGAUUAGUUUUUUAAAAUUUGAUUUCGAUGAUCACUUUUAUACUUAAUACAAUUUCAUAUAUAUCCUUAUGUAUAAGAAAAAUCCAAAAUCAUCCUCAUUAAUUAGAAAAUAAAAUUAUUAAUUUGAAAGAGAUUAUUUGUAUUACCAAUUAUAUUGAGAUAACAAGAUAAAAAUAAAAUUAAUAAUGUAAAUAUUUAUUUUAGUUAUCAAUUUUUAUAUAUACACACCUAAAAAUAUUUUAUUUACAUGUUUAUAAAUUUGUAAAUAAAUUUUAUCCAACAAAUGUUCACUUUAAUCAUUUACAUUCUUACAACAUUUUAACAGUAAGAUUUACCAAAUACAUACGACUACUUUUAAAACCCACACACUUUUAAAAAUAAAUUUUACUGAACGUUUAAUUGGUUCUCUAUUAUAGCUGAUUAUUUCUACAGUAUGACUAACAGUAAUUAUUUUACAAGUUAUAACAUUAUUAAACUAGCCCAUAGUGACUCAAUUGAUUAAAACUAAGUCAAUUAAAUCACUAAGUUAGGAAAACAAACCGCCCUUUAGUAAAUUUCUUAAUGUAAAUAUUAGUAAAUUAUGAUGGAAAUAAAAAUAAUAAUCUCUUCCUUUGUUCACCUUUUAAUUAAAAUCCGUUUCAUUAGCUAUUUUGAAUAACAAACUGAAUUGAUCACGAAAUAAUAAUCUCUUUUUCCAAUCAUAAUCAUUUGUAAGGACAUUAAUUAUGUAUUUUUAAUGGGUUCAUAUGUUAAUUAUAUUGUAUACCGUUUGUCAACCAAACUGGCAACCAUUUUAUUGGUUAAAAUUCAUUCAUAUCAGUAUUUAAGAUACGCAUCACUUUCUAGCAACAAUGCGUCAAUGUUAUAUAUGUUCCCGUUCAAACUUUCCACUUGCUGCUUCACCCAUGUAAGUUAUGAAAAAGUUGCUGAGAAAAUGAAAAAAUAAACCAUGGCCAUGAAAAUAAUAAAACGCCGCCAGCCGUUUAGUAUAAUUCUAGGAGCGAUUUAUCAUUUCUUUUUCCUUUUUGCUUUUUAUUUCAACAAUUUAUUAUUGACUAGUGUAUUGCAGGCUUGCAUCAAUGAAGUGUUUGGAUCAUUUAUCCCCUUUUUUUCAAAUAUAAUUCAGAUAUAAUUCUAGAUUAUGCUGGUAGAAACAUCGUCUCAAAGAUUCUAUUGGGUCAUCAAUAGCUGUAUAUGAGUAUAUCUUGAAGAGGGCUACUUUUUCUAGGAUAUGCUGCUAGAAAAUUUUGCAACACGUAACCACUACGAGUUAGUCUUUUUUGUUUAAUUAAGACUCUAAUCUCCCUUUCUAGAAUGCAAGAUAAAAAAUUAAGCUAGAAACGUUAUAUCAAAAUAAUGAAUAGUUACUAAUUUUUGUCAAAUAUAAUUCUAGACAUUCUAGUCACACAUUUUACCAUUUAGUCCAUAAAUUUUCAAAGUACAUAUUAUAUUUCUAAUAUUAUACUUUUAUGUUCAAAUUACUCUGUUGAAUUAUACAUGCGGCUUUUUAACAUAUUAUCCGCUGUGGGUUUAGAUUUAGUAAUGGCAAACCCGCUGCGGGUGCUGCCUAUUGCUAUCUCUAGCCGUGUACUUUUUUUUUCCUUUUAACUACAUUGAUGGAAAGCUGAAUUUUGACUUUUUAUAUUCUGACGAUCCUUCCUUGUACUUCAGUAUGAAGGAAUACGAAGAGAGGGCUGUAUCUUUGGCAUUGGAUCGGCAAAAGCUCCAGGCCCUCACCAAUAAACUUAAAUCAGUACGCUUGACAUGUCCUCUAUUUGACACAGCACGAUGGAUGAGUUGAAACUAAUGUUUGCGAUUGUUUUGCAGUUCUUGGCCCACUUUGUGAAAGAAGUGACUUACAAAUGGAUGCUUUUUUUUUUGGAAAUUGCAAGUCAAGAAUCUGGAGAGGUCAUAUAUCAAAAUGUGGAGUCUCCAUUGCUCUGGGCAGAAGCCCCAACACUUCAAAGUAACUGAGAAUGACUUGGACUUCCCUUGCGAUAGAUAGGUAUAUGGGAAGGGAAACGGGAUUGUAGAUAAAAGCAAAUAGGAAUAGUAGAACGAUGAUUAUUAUUGUAUUUAGAAGAAGAAAUUGUUUCACCUUAUUCAAAUGACGCCAUGGCUGAGUUUGUGAUGUCAGUGCUGAUAAUGGAUUGUAGUCUGUGUACAAAUGUACUUUUCUAUUUAUAAGGAUUUGUGAAAAACGUUGGAGAUUAGAAAAGAAAAUAAAUAGAUUCUUCCUCAAGCCAUCAGUUCUGUUCUAUUAGAGUUGGGACCAGUGGCACCUCCCUAAUCUCAUCAUCAAAUUCCUUCUUCAGUUAUAUUUAUUUCAUCUGUGAAAACGUCGUUUUUUUUCCUUUUUUUUAAGAACACUUUUAAUUUUUAUUUUAUUUUUUUAGUUAAAAGUAGUAUUGUGUUAUUAAUUUUUAUUUCUUUUGUAAUCUUAUUAUUAUCUUAUGCACAAGAUAAAAGAUUUUUUAGGUGACGAGUUUUUCAAUAUUAAUUAUUUAAUUAAAUUAUACAUAUGUUAAAUUAUAAUUUAAAAAUAAAUUUAAGUAUAAAAAUAUUUAAUCGAUAACAAAUCUGAAAAUAAUAAUAGAUUAUUUCAAAUUUUGUAUGGUUUAUUUUAGUUAGAUAAGAAGUAACCGGUACAAAAUUUUAAAAAAAAAAAGAUUGAUUAUAAUUGUAAGUAAUUUUUUUUUUUAAAAAGAUAGAUUAUCAAUAUAAGUGAUUUAUUGAAAAGAAAAAUUUGUGUAUGAUUAAUUUUAUUUGAAGCAGGGUUUUUGAAGGAUAAUGAAGGGGUCCCAAACACUGUGGAGUUGUUGGCUCUUCCGCUGUCAAAGUCACGUAUGCUUGGAAGCUUUUAACCACCGCUGUCAAAAGUCACGUAUACUGCAAUUGGAUCAUGGAUUUUUCAUUUAAUAAGAUAACCACCGGCGGCAACUCUGAUAUACAAAAACAUGUAUUUCAGAUUACGGAAUCUAUCCAAACAUAUAGCAUGCGAGUGCGAUUACCAGCUCGAGCAGUUUUUAUUGCGGAAUUCUUUCAAACACAUAGCACGCAUGUGAAGUUCCCACAUUGGACCUUCCAAGAUGUUAGUUUCUCUAUUCAGAAACCGAACUCAAUGCCUCAUCCCCUCCUUCAAAACCAUGACCACCGCAGCCGCGGCUAAAACCUCAAAAGACGAUUACUUCGCAGCCGUAAACCACAUCGCCAUCAUAGUCCGUCACUACAUAUAUCCAGAACGCACCCUCAACAGACUCAACCUCACCCUCACCUCAGAGCUCGUCUACCGCGCCUCCGCGUCUGCCACACUACUUGCCCUUCCAAAUCCCUCCGCUUCUUCACCUGGGCCCGCUCCCAGCCCCAAUACUCCCCCACUUCCCUCGAAUUCGAACAGCUCAUCUGACCCUCGCCCACCACAAACUCUACCAGUCCAUGUGGAAUCUACGUUCUUCUGGCAUUUGAUUGCGUUCCACCCAAGCACGCUGUUAUUUAUUUUUAAGAAAUAAUGGUGUUUGUAAUUAUUGUCUUUUCUGGCUUUAUCUAGAGUUUAUCUGAGAAAUAAACAGUCAUAAAUAGUUUUGGUUGAUGGACUCUUGGACUUGGUAUUGGAAUUUGGAUUGAAGCAGAGGCGGUUGGCUCGGAGAAAUGAUUACUUUGAACAUUUUUUGCAUGCAUGUAUUUUAUGAUUUUUCAUUUGCUUCUAACCUUGUUGUUCAUUCAAAUGAAAUCAAAUACUCAUUUGGUAUGAUAGAAUCAGUGGGCAAUCAUUUUUAUUUUAGCUUAAAAACCAGGUUAUCUUUGCAUAGCUAUAGUUUUAUAGUUUCUGUUUCUGUGCUUUAUGCUUUCAAAUACUGAUGAUGAACCGAGUGUUUAGCCCAGAGCAAGCUUUCGGGUUUAAGGACAUUAAUUUGCAGCUGAUUCAGCGGUUACACAUACAAUGAUAAAAAUGUGUACCCAAACGCACAGUUUAUGAGCAUGUCUCUCACUGUAUACACGAUUGAGAGUGGGUCCGCCUCCUACUUUAUAACAAUUUAUGUUAGAGUAAUGAUACAGCUACAAACUCUUGUACAAACUUAUUUUGUACAAACUGACGUGGCAUUAAUUCAUUGGUUGAAUGAAAAUAUAAAAUAGUAAAAACAAAUUAUGUGGGCCAAGUGAUAUUUAAUUCAACCAAUCUUAUCAUGCCACAUCAGUUUGUACAAAAUAAGUUUGUACAAGAGUUUGUGGCUAUAUCAUUACUCUUUAUGUUAUACUGACAAUAUUUUCCGCAGUGAUCGCAUGUUUGAAGUUUUGCUUCUCGAAAUGGCUCCUUUCAUUUUUUUCUUUAUUAAAAUAGACAAUUUUCGUUUUUCGUUUUCGACAAGGAAGGUAACUGAUAUGUUUAACGAAGGGAUGAUGUUUUCCUUCAAAAAAUAGUUCAGAGUUAUCGGUAGCGUCUUGUCUUUAAUUUUCUGAACUCCGUGCAGUUGGUGUAAUAGUUUUUGCUGUUCUUCUCUUUGCGGCUAGUGCCUAGAGAGAUGGAGAGAAGCUGAAUGUGAACUAGGAAGGUGGAAAUGUUGUACAUUAACAUACGUAAUCAACUACGACUAUAAAUCCUUUUCAUGGACCCAAAACAUCAUAUCAAUCAAUGCCAUUAUAGUUAUCAAAACUAAAAAAUUAUGGCUUUUGAUAAGUUACAGCUUGUUGUAAGUUUUUGUCCUUACAAAAACAUACAAAAAAUAGUAAUAUGACAGUGAGCACACUUAAUUUUUGUAUGGGCUGUAAAUUACGCUAACUUAGUGUAACUAAAUGUAUUAUAAGAAAGACAAAAUUUAUUGAUUUUUUUCUUAACUAAGUGAUUAGAAUACAUUUACUCAUAAUUAUCGAAGCAGAAAUUAAGUGAUAAUCAAGGGCUUGUAAAACACUUAAUUUCAAACCUCUAAAUUUGAGAACUAUAACAAUAAGAGAAGUUAAGUAACAAUUAAGUGCUUAUAAAACGAUAACUUUUAUUAUAGGUAAAGGAGAUAUGUAUUCAAUAACUAACCACAGGCUGAAGCUCAUCUCAUAUGAAUACUAUUGUGCGAUAGAGAUUACAAUUGUAUGACAAAUGACCCUUGAUAAAUUUAGACAACUAGUAGAAAUUAGAAUUUAAAUUUUUUAUUUUUAAGUUUUUCCAAUAUUCCAAUGUUAAACAUUUAAUUAAAAUUAAAUAAAUCUUAAGGAUAUAUAAAAUCAUGUUUUUAUAAUAGGCCUAAAACGAAACUUUAGAAAAUACAUUUUUUAUGUUAAUUUCUCUUAUACAUUUAUCUGUUACAUACAAAUAUGAUAUGAAUGAGUGAUAAACUCUUUCAUAAAUUAUAUAUUUGACAAGACCAAACCAAAACUUCCACAAAAUAAAUAAUUAAUUAGUUAAUCCAAAACUACCUCGGUUAAUCUGUUAAAUGUUGAAUGUGUUUGAAUAAAGUAAUUUAUAACAAUUUUAAACAAAAUAAAUUUGGUCUAUUCUAUAUUUCAGUCGUCAAUGAGAGUUCUUUUCACCCUUCAACUACUGGACUCUCGCAAUUUAGAGUUAUCAUUUUUAUUAUUAUUGUUAUUGGUCAUAAUUUUAAAAUUUGUUGGGAAAUCUGCGGAAUUAUAUAUUAAACAUCUAAAUUAAUAAUAUGUAUGAAAUAAAUGGCAUCCCACACAAAUAUAAACAAUAAUUUUACUUGAAUUAAACACCCAAAUCCUAUAUUAUAAUAUUAUGCAUAAUUAAACUUACACACUAGACCAUUUUAUUAUAAUUUGGACUUGUGAAGUAUAUUAUUCACUCAGAUUUAUCAACCGUAGAUCACUUUAUCAAACCAUGAUUAUUGUAGAAUUAAAAAAGUUACUGCUUGUCAACUGUAAAUGGACGAACUGUUUAUACUCACCCUUUAUAUAAUUGUGUAAUUAAUUAAUCUUUGUAUAACUCAAAAUUAUUGUUUACUCUAUCAAUCUUAAUGAAUUGAAAGUAGAUGGUUUUAAUUUGCAAAUGUUUUUGCUUCUAUAUUUGUAACUAUUUUUAUUUAAAAAAAUUCAUUAAACAAAUAAAGUUGACCAAAGCAUUCUCCAAAUGCCGACCGUUUUAAUUGACAAAGCUUAAAAACUUUUAAGGAAAUUGGGGCAGAAUAAAUCCUUGAUUAUGUGUAAACUGAUAACCUUCAAAAACCAUUUAAAUUGCCUUUCUAAAGUAUUCUAAUCCAAUAUUUGCUAUAUGAUUUCGAACCAAGUUCGAUUUGUUCAAUUCAUGAUUAAAUGGCAAAGAUAAUAUUUUAAGGAGUUGAAAUAGUUCCACUUUAUUAAUAACUCGGUACAAACCUAAUAAAAAUGAGGAUAUUGGAGUCUCUCGCUCCCCUUGUAUUUGAGAGUAUUUUCGCUUAUUUAUUUAUUAUUUUAGAUUUCUAUGCUGCGUUUAUCUAGUUUAUUAAAAAAAAAGGAAGAUCCUCCUUCGAAAAAUUUCACAAAUUCCAUGCGAGUUAAGUAAGAACUACGCCAUUCAUUAUUUUUAUAUAUGCGGAUACAAGUUGAUCAUAUAUAUAUAUAGAGAGUAACUAAACUAUGUCUUCAGGCAACUAGUUAGCCCCGAACUUUGCUUGAAGAGCUUUCACUACAUAAGGAUCAAGUUGGAAUGCCCUGGCGAGAGCAUAAGGAUCAAUUGGUGGAUCUGAUCCGAAGACUACAUCUGCAAUUGUAAUAACACCAGGAUUCUGGCUACUCAAAGCAGCGAUGGCAAACAGCGUUGGUUGGUCGAAUAUUCACUUGGAAAUGAAUGAGCCCAUUUGGAAACACAAACACAUCUCCUUUGUUCAGGGCUCUGGUGAAGUGUGUUCUUUAGCUGGUUUGAUGUCACAAAACCAACAUAGAGAGUGCCCUCUAGGAUUACUAGGAUUUCUGGGGCACAAUGAUGAGAGUGAUGUGGGUUUGGCCGCUGUUUGCCGCGUAGUCGAUACGAACUAUAGAUAUGCCGAGUAGUGUUGUGCCCUGGAAUCUGUUCUACAUUUGCAGUUGUGACUGUUGAGCUAACUUGAUUCGCUACGCUUUUAGGGAUAUUGUGCCCUGAAAAUUAAUCAAAACUACUUGUUAAAAAGAUUCCGUUUCGUUUUGAAUUUUUUUGUGCCUUUUACUAUUUUAUCCCUAUAAUUAGACUUAUGAUACAUAAAAUGUCAACAAUUAAUCAAUAAGAGAAAAAAAUUAGUCAUAAGUCUGAUUUUAAUGGUAAAAUAAAAAAUAGACAAAAAAGUACAAAGUUUACGUAAUCAUUUUAAUGCCAAAGAGUUUUAAUGAGUUUUGAAACGUAAGGAGAAAAAUAAUAAAUCUACUAGAACAAUAGGAAGAUUUUGAUCAUUUUCCCACUGAUAUAAAGAAAAACGAUACACACCACACGUCUUGAUCUUGAAAUCGUUGAUGGCGACACAAAAAUCCUGAAGACGGCUAGGGUCAGAGGCAAUGGCCAAUGAACAAGCCAAAACCAAGAGAACAGAAGCUACAGGAAAUUGAACUCCUUUCAUGUUGAUUAGCCACAUGCAAUUAGGGAUGGCAAAAAUUCCUACGGGGACAGGUACCCUCGGGGAUUUUCCCCAUUCAGGGAGGGUAUGGGAAUAAUUUCAUACCCAAUUUCUUAUUCGAGGAAAGGAAGGAGAAAUUUUUUUACCAAUUUCUUAUUCGGGGAGGGGACAUGGAUGAGGUGGAAUCCUCAUCCCCUACCCGUUUUCCCAUUUUAAUUUUUAAUUUUAUUAUUAUUUUUUAAAAUUACUAGUAAAUAAAUAAUAAAAUUUGAAUUAUAAAAUUAUAAAUAUUGGUAAAAAUAACAAAUAUCAAAAUAUUUAUAUUAUUAAACUUUUAGGCUUAAUUAACUAAUUAAAGUUCUAAAUUUUUAUUUAGGACAUUAAAAAAACCGGGUAAAUUCUAUUAGCCCAAAAAUUUUGUUUUAAUUUUAAUAUUCAUUAAAUGUUUUAAACUUAAAUAUAUUUUUUAUUUAUUUUUAGAUGUUAUAAUUGCCCACAGCGAAUCACAAUUUUAAUAUCUAAUUUAAUCUAAUAUUUGCUCUUGAUUUGCUCCGACUUAACUAUUGUGUUGUAAAGGGAAUAGUCCACAUUUAUAAAGUGCCAUGCCACCAUUGAAAAAGUUAAUUUUGAAUCUAAAUUCGAUUUUAUUUGUAACAAUUUUGUAUUAGACUAUUAAUUUAUUCAUGAUAGUUUGUAAAAGAAGUUUGUAUCCCUUACAUGCUGCGUUACUUACUAAUUUAAUGUANNNNNNNNNNNNNNNNNNNNNNNNNNNNNNNNNNNNNNNNNNNNNNNNNNNNNNNNNNNNNNNNNNNNNNNNNNNNNNNNNNNNAAUGUAUUAGUUAUUCGGGGAUUGAGGACCCUUGGGGAUCCCCUAUUAUUAUUCGGGGAGGGGAUGUAGAUUCUCUCAAGUAAUUCUGACGGGGACGGGGACAUACGCAAAAUAUCAGGGAUGGGUACGGGGGGAUUGGUCCCCUCCCCUCCCCUCCCCAUUGCCAUCCCUACAUGCAAUUGCUUGCUACAUGCAUGCAAAUGUUCAACAUUAUGUGUGAUUGCUCUUAUCAAGCGACAUCAACUAGUCAUCUACCAAUUGAUCUUGGGGCUCAAUAGAAUCUGUUUCACAUCAGAUUUUGCAUAACAAAAAGUAAUGAAGAGAUUAAUUAAUAUAUGUGUGUGUGUGUGUGUGUGUACGGAAAAAAUAUAUGUAUAAGGAGAGGCAUGGGAAAGGCUUAGCUGCUAAAUAAAACCAACCAUAAAUUAUGUUUAUUACAUGGCUACAAUCAGCCUGAAGAGAGGUUCAUGAGAGAGCUUUUUUUUUACAUUAAUUAAGAUAUGAUAAUCUAGAGCUAAAACAAUAAAGCCACUAGUGAAGAGGCCAUUUAUAUUAAAAGCUCAUUAAUUCCUUCUCCUAAUCGCCAUUAAUGAACUUAUGCUGAAGAUCUUUCACUGUCUUCGGGUCCAACUGGAAUGCCUUGGCAAGAAAAUCGGGAUUGAUUGGAGGAUUAGCUCCAAAGACCGCGUCGGCUAUGGUAAUUUCACCGGGGAACUGGCUGUUUAGAGCAGAAUAGGCAACUGCAUUUGUUUUUCCAACGUUGAAUUGGAAGUGAAUCAAACCUUUUGGAAACACAAAAGCAUCUCCCUUAUUCAGAACUUUUGCGAUGAGUUUGUUAUUUAGCUGGUCUGAUGUCACAAAACCGACAUGAAGAGUUCCUUCCAGGACCAGCAGGAUUUCACUGGCACGGGGGUGAAUAUGAGGUGGCCUUUGGCCAUAUGGCGCAUAGUCAAUGCGGAAUGCUGAUAUGCCAAGGGUGUUGAGUCCUGGAAUUUGCUCAACAUUUGCAUCUGUUUCAUCAACACCAAGUCGAUUUGCUGUGUUUCCAGGCUUGUCUAGCCCUGAGAAGAAGAAAUCAUCUGCUCUCGCAAGCUUGGGGUCCUUGCAGAACUUCCCAUUCACAAACACUACAAGAACACACACACAUACACACACAAAGGGGGAAAAAAAGAAUAAUUAAGUAGCAGCACAAAUUUUAUUGAAAUUUAUAUGUUUCGUUAGUUCAGCUUACGUACCACCAUCCUUCGGGUCCUCGAUGGCUACACAGAUAUCUUGAAGAGGGCUAGGGUCAGAGGCAGAGGCCAAAGAAGAAGCCAAAGCCAAGAGAGCAAAACCUAUAAGAAAUUGAAUUGCCUUCAUGGUGAUUAAUUAACAGGACGUACUUAUCUCAAACUUUAAUCAAGUGUUGGGAUUUGAGAAUAUAGCGAGGGAACCUAGCCUAUUUAUAGAACGGAGUCCAUGAACGAGUCUGUGAGUUCAAUUUCUUAGUCCUCGAAGCAGGAGAAGACUAACAGAGUCCUCAUUGGUUAUCUUUCUUAGGGCCUGUUCGGUAAUUUUUUCCUCUCAUCUUAAAACAUAAUUUUUUCCUCUCAUCUUCUUCCUCUCUCUCUCUCCCUCGUCGUCAAAUCUUAUCUCUAAGUGUCUCAUCUUCUUCCUUUCUCUCCCUUACCAAGUUAUACACGUUACUGCUUUUUCCUUUUUUCUCGAUCAUUUUUUCAAUUGACAUUGUGCUUUCCUUCAAUUUACUCAACUCAUUGGAAAGAAACGAGUUGAAGAAUGUAUGAAAAUGGGUGAGAAGGAAAUUCACGUCUUUGGCAACAGACUAACAGUUGAGAGUCAUGUUCUGUAGAUAUCGAUGUUUCCGGACCUGAUUGGUUUGUCGUUGGACUUAAUGGAGAAGCAAGAUUAGGCUUUUUUUUUUUUUUCUUUUCAUAGCAACUUUCGUAGCUUCUUUAACCAUUUUUAGUUCUAUUAAUGCUUUACCAAGUCAAUGAUGCACGUGUUUUUUUCAUUACGUGUUAAAGUCACAAAUCAUCUGCUUCAAGAGAAAACAGACUAGGAUCAGAAAGGAACCAAAAGUCUUCCAUCUUAUUUUCUGUGGUCACGUUAAUUAGAAGCUGGAGUCGGCACUUUUUGUUAGAGAUAUCCUUCUACAAUCUCAAUUGAUAUAAUAUCAUUUCAACUUUAAUGGCUGCCCGAGGUUUACCGACCGGCUAGCUCAUUAUUUUUUUGAUAAAAAUUAGUUACCUUCGUUUGUUAUAUAAUCAGGGGGAUAUUGGAAUAAAAGAGAAUGGAAAAUGCUAAGUAUCAAGAAGAAUGAGAGAAAUCUGAGAGAAUGAAGCAUGUGCUGAGAGAAGAGAGAGAGAGAAAAAGUUGACAGAAGAGAGAGAGAUGAAGCAAAACAGAAACCUGAAUUGUAGUUUCUCUCAGCUUUCUCUCGUUCUUCUAGCCAUCUAGCAGCACUCAAAGAGAAUAAUUCUUUUUGACGCUUUAAUUAUGCAGUGAGUGCUACUAUAUGACUAGAAGAACGAGACAAAGCUGAGAGAAACUACAAUCUAGGUUGCCGUUUUGCUUCAUCUCUCUUUUUUGUCAGCUUUUUUUCUCUCUCUCUUCUCUCAGUACAUGCUUCAUUCUCUCAGCUCUCUCUCAUUCUUCUUGAUACUUAGCAUUUUCCUUAUGUAAUUGAUCCCCUGCAUUGGGAUUGUACCGUUAUAUAUUAUUUGCUGUUUGUUUUUUAUUUAAGAUCUGAAUAAGUUUAAAUUAGUAUGAAUUUUAAAUAAAUUUAAAUGCAUGAAUUUGAAUAACGUAUUUAUUUAUUUUUUGUCACAAACUUUGAGAAUAAAUAUUAAGUUAUUUUUAACUUCAAAAAUCUAAAAUCAAAACCUUUACAUUUGUGUCCUUACAAUUUUAAAUGUUAAAUAUAUAAUGAACAUCUCAAAGAAUAUAAAUAAGAUAGUAUUUUAUCAUAAUAUAUUUAUAUUUUGUAUGAAUUUUAAAUAAAUUUAAAUGCAUGAAUUUGAAUAACGUAUUUAUUUAUUUUUUGCCAGAAACUUUGAGAAUAAAUAUUAACUUUUAACUUAAAAAAUCUAAAAAUCAAAACCUUUACAUUUGCGCCUUUACAAUUUUAAAUGUUAAAUAUAUAAUGAACAUCUCAAAAAAUAUAAAUAAGAUAGUAUUUUAUCAUAACAUAAAUGGUGCUCAGUGAAUGCAACCUAUUAAUAUUCUAAAUUAGAAUUAUAUUAAUAAAAUUUUGUGAAGAUAAAUAAUUCUAGUUUGAAGAAAAUAAAAAGAUAAAAAUAAUGAUAAUUUACUACUAUAUUAGUAAGCUUUAUUUAGGUAAGGAGGAAAAUAAAUUAAUUAGAUAAAGGUAUUGCAGAGAAUAUUUUUCAAUGAUGUGAUUCAAAAUUUUCAGAUUAAGUAAAAAGCUAAACAAAAUAAUUAGCUUAAAAACUUAAUGACUUAUCAAUCACUAAAUUUUUUUAUUAAAUUGAAAAAAUUAACAGAGUUAUGGUCCAUUUAGGAUUUAUUUCGGGAGGUGCUUUUGAAAAGUUUAAAAGGUAAUUUUGAUGUUUGACAAAUUUUUUAAAAAAUCACUUUUAGCAAAAUCACCGUAUCAUACAACAAAUUUUUAAAAGUAGAGAAAGAGUAGUUUUUUAAAAUUGGAUUUCGAGAAUCCCUUUUAUACUUAAUACAAUUUCAUAUAUAUUCUUAUAUAUAGGAAAAAAUCCAAAACCAUCCUUAUAAAUUAGAAAAUAAAAUUAUUAAUUUUAAAGAGAUUAUUAUUAUUACCAAUUCUAUUGAGAUAACAAAAUAAAAAAUAAAAUUAAAAAUAUAAAACAUUUAUUUUAGUUAUCAAUUAUUAUUUAUACACAACUAAAAAUAUUUUAUUUACAUGUUUAUAAAUGUGUAAAUAAUUUUUAUUCAACAAUAUGUUCAAUUUAAUUAUUUACAUUGUUAAAACAUUUUAACAGUAAGAUUUACUAAACAUUUAAUUGAUCUCUAUACAGCUAUNNNNNNNNNNNNNNNNNNNNNNNNNNNNNNNNNNNNNNNNNNNNNNNNNNNNNNNNNNNNNNNNNNNNNNNNNNNNNNNNNNNNNNNNNNNNNNNNNNNNAUUAAAUCAUUAAGUUAGGAAAACAAACUGCCCUUUAGUAAAUUUCUUAAUGCAAAUAUUAUUAAACUAUAAUGUAAUUAAAAAUAAUAAUCUCUUCCUCUAUUCACUUUUUUAAUUACAAUUAGUUUCAGUAGCUAUUUUGAAUGACAAACUGAAUUGAUCGCGAUAUAAUAAUCUCUUCUUUCAAUCAUAUGGGCAGGUUUGAGUCACUGAGGUAGCUGUGGGAAUUUGUUUUCGUUGAUUUCUGCACUGGGCUUUUUAGGAUUAUUUGUAAAGGCAUUAAUUAAGUAUUUUUAAUGGGUUUAUAUGUAAAUUAGAUUGUAUGUAAUAUUAAAGGUUUGUCAACCAAACUGGCAACCAUUAAUUAAGUUAAAAUCCAUUCGUGUCAGUAUUUAAGAUACGUGUCACAUUCUGGCAACAAUCUUAAUAUGUGUUUCCAUUCGAACUUUCCACUGGCUGCUUGACCCAUCUAAGUUAUGAAAAGUUUCUGAGAAAAUGAAAAAAUAAUCCAUGGCCGUGGAAAUAAUAGAACGCCGCCAGCUGUAUUGUAUGAUUCUAUGAGCGAUUUAUCAUUUCUUUUUUCUUUUUAUUUCGACAAUUUAUUACUGACUACUGUAUUGCAGGCUUGUAGCCAUUAAGUGUUUGGAUAAUUUAUCCCAUUAUUUUCAAAUAUAAUCCAGAUAUAAUUCUAGAUUAUGCUGGUAGAAACAUCGUCUCAAAGAUUCUAUUGGGUCAUCAAUAGCUGUAUAUAUCUUGAAGGGGACUAAUUUUUCUAGGAUAUGCUGGUGGAAAAUUUUGCACCACGUAACUACUAUGAAUGAGUCUUUGUUGCUUAAUUAAGACUCUAAUCUCUCUUUCUAGACUGCAAGAUAAGUUUAAGCUAGAAACAUUAUAUCAAGGUGUACACAUUUUCAUCAAAUAUAAUUGUAGACUUUCUGGUCACACAUUUUACCAUUUAGUCCAUAAUUUUUCAAAAUACCUAUUAUGUUUCUAAUAUUAUACUUUUAUGUUUGAAUUAGUCUGUUGAACUAUACAUGUGACUUUUUAACAUAGAAUACCCUACAUACCUUUUAGUAGGGGAUUUAAAAAAAAGAGCGCAUUAUAUUAAACUAAGGUAGUAUUUGUUUUUUUUUUUUUUGUCUGAAAUCUAAAUGAAUCUGAAUUUUUCUAAAGUCUGAAUGGGUCUGAUUACGAAAAUUUAAAUAAUAUGUUUAUUUUUCUUUUUUAAAUAUCUGAAUAUAAGUGACAUUUUGUUUGUUUUUAAAAUAAAAACAUCUUAAACUUGGUUAUUUGACAUUUAUGUCCUUGUAAAUUCAAAAAAAAAAAAGAGAAUUAGAUUUUAUAGUUUAGGAAAUAAGUUAUUUUACAGAGAUAUUUUUAGAAUAUAAUAUUUACUUGUCUUUCAGACCUUUUUUCAUACAGAUAAAAGUCACAAAGUUUAUUUUUUCUAUUCAUAUGUAAAUGUCUGAAAAUCAGACAUAAGUUCCAAAAAAACAAACAAGUAUAUUUUAGAAAAGGUCUGAAAUUAAUAAAAUUUCAAACUUCAGACAUUUAACAAACAAUCUCUAAGUGUAUGUUUAAUAUGAUUUAUCUAAUGGUCAUAAGUGCUUAUCUAAUCCCAUAAAUUCCUUUUAAAAUUAUUAUUAUUGUUUGAUUGCAUUUUAAGUAAAGUUUUUAAGGAUUAAAUAAAUUUUUUUGUCUCUACUAACAAAAGCUUAAAUUUUAAAAUUUUGAGAGUAUAGAUUAGAGAGACCUUUUAAAAAGUUAAAUCGUCCAAAAUGUUCCAUUAUUUAUUUCACAAUAUUAUGACAUUUCUCUCUCUCUCUCUCUCUCUCUCUCUCUCUAUAUAUAUAUAUAUAUAUAUAUAUAUAUAUCUUAAUUUUAAAAAUUGAUCUAUUAAAAUAAUUUUAUAUAAUUUUUAACAAAGAUCUCAUCGACAACCAAACAACUAAAAUUUCUUUAAUAAAAGCUUCACUUAUAAAAAUUUUACUAACAAAAAUUUUAUUUGAAUAAAUUUUAUCAGAAAAAUUAUACCAAACGAAGCUAACAAUAAGAUUAUAAUAGUAAAAGAAUUCAAUAAUUGCACUCUUAAUGUUACCAUUUAAAAAUUAUUAAGUUAAGAAUGAAAUAGGUAAUUUGGGAAACCCAUCUGGAGGGAUUUGCUUAACAUCCUUUAAAAUUUUUUCCCAGCUGGAAGUAAUUGCUGAACAUCCUUUUCAAUUCCCGAGUAUUAUCUAAUCAGCUUAUUUUGUCAUUUUUAGGUGUUUGCAAAGGCUUUUGGCAAGGAUACUGGGUUGGCUUACGUGUAGUGGACUGAUCAUGUUGACUUUGUUCGGUAGCACAUUUUAUUUUACGCGUGUCUAGUUGUAACCAUGUCUCUCACUGUAUACACCAGUGUGAGUGGGUCCACCUACUAUUUUAUGACAAUUUAUGUUAUACUGACAAUAUUAUUCGUGCUGAUCACAAGUUUGAAGUUUUGCUUCUCUCGAAGAACUGGCUCCUUUCAUUUAUUUAUUUAUUAAAAUUUACAUUUUUUUUCCGUUUCCUUGCAAGAAAGGUAAUUAGAUUAAGUUUAACGGGGCGAUGAUGUUUUCCAUUAAAUAAGUAAAACACAAUUUUAUGCCAGAGUAGAAAUGGCCAAUCAAAACAAGGGUUAUCCAUGUUCGUGCCAUGCCGUCGUGUGCUUAAUUUUUUUUUCUCGUACCUUGCCCAUAUGUGUUGUGUUGUGUCUAAAAAGAAGUUCAAUAAUUUUUUUUAGUUUUUUAAAAGCACGUACUAAGUAAUUGAUAUAUUUUUUUUAAGUUUAUGUUUUUUUUAGGUCUAUACCUUUAUUCAAAUUUAAUAGAAUUGAAAAUUUAAAACUCAAGUCUAUAUUUUAUAAUAAUAAACUAAUAAUAGUAAGAGAAUGUAAUAUUAAUUUUUAAGUUUGACAUUUUAACAUUAUUUUUUUUUAUACUUAACAACAACAACAAUAAUAAAUUUUUCUUAAGGGUUAACUUAAUUGUUAACUUAGACUUACAUAGAGUCAUAGAUCAUAAUUCACAAUAAUAUUAAUGGAUAUUUAUAAAAUCAUAAUAAUUAUAAUUUUAUUUAUUAAAAUCAUGAUAUCAAUUAUAUAUUUAAUAAAUUAUAAAUAUAAAUCAAUUAUAGUACUCUUUAAACUAAGAAUUAAAUGAAUUUAAAAAAUUCAUUUUCAAGUUAUUUGUAAAACUAUAAAAUUUUAAGUUUACUUUCAUUAAAAAAUAAAAUGUGCUUAUUGUGAACUUUUUUAUCGUGCUAUACUUAGUCCAUUUCUAAUCAUGUAGUGCUUUUAAUGCUCGUGUGCUUAAAAUUUUAAGUCUGGCCCAGUCCACGUGCGUACUGUGCCAUACCACAUACCCUACCAAAACGUGCUGGUAUUGUGCCGUACUGUACGAAUACAUGUCGUGCCAUGUGUCAUCUAGUCCAUUGGCCAUCUCUACGCCAGAGUGACAAUAUGCCACAUUGAGAAGAAUUGUGUGCCCCUAAAGCUGGAUUAAUAAUUUAAUUUGAAUUGACAUCUAUAACAGUUGUAGGCUAACCAAUAUUUCCACAGAAAAAAGUAGUUCAAAAUUAUUGGUCGCAUCUUGUCAUAAAUUUUUUAACUCUGCGCAGUUGGUGUAAUAGUUUCGGCUGCUAUUCUCUUUACUACUAGAGCCUAGAGAUGGAGUGAAGCAUAUUGGGAAUUAGGAAAAGAGAGUUGCUUCCUUACAAUUAGGCAGGCGCUAAGUUACGGUUAACGUAACUUACGCCCACACACAGUAACAGUACCACUGGUGGGGCCUGGUACUGUUGCUACGUAAGUUACGUUAUGCCGAGUAGUGUUGUGCCCUAGAAUCUGUUCUACAUUUGCAGUUGUGACUGUUGAGCCAACUUGAUUUGCAAUGCUUUUAGGGAUAUUGUGCCCUGAAAAUUAAUCAAAACUACUUGUUAAAAAGAUUCCGUUUCGUUUUGAAUUUUUUUGUGCCUUUUACUAUUUUAUCCCUAUAAUUAGACUUAUGAUACAUAAAAUGUCAACAAUUAAUCAAUAAGAGAAAAAAAUUAGUCAUAAGUCUGAUUUUAAUGGUAAAAUAAAAAAUAGACAAAAAAGUACAAAGUUUACGUAAUCAUUUUAAUGCCAAAGAGUUUUAAUGAGUUUUGAAACGUAAGGAGAAAAAUAAUAAAUCUACUAGAACAAUAGGAAGAUUUUGAUCAUUUUCCCACUGAUAUAAAGAAAAACGAUACACACCACACGUCUUGAUAUUGAAAUCGUUGAUGGCGACACAAAAAUCCUGAAGACGGCUAGGGUCAGAGGCAAUGGCCAAUGAACAAGCCAAAACCAAGAGAACAGAAGCUACAGGAAAUUGAACUCCUUUCAUGUUGAUUAGCCACAUGCAAUUCCUUGCUACAUGCAUGCAAAUGUUCAACAUUAUGUGUGAUUGCUCUUAUCAAGCGACAUCAACUAGUCAUCUACCAAUUGAUCUUGGGGCUCAAUAGAAUCUGUUUCACAUCAGAUUUUGCAUAACAAAAAGUAAUGAAGAGAUUAAUUAAUAUAUGUGUGUGUGUGUGUGUACGGAAAAAAUAUAUGUAUAAGGAGAGGCAUGGGAAAGGCUUAGCUGCUAAAUAAAAACAACCAUAAAUUAUGUUUAUUAAAUGGCUACAAUCAGCCUGAAGAGAGGUUCAUGAGAGAGCUUUUUUUUUAACAUUAAUUAAGAUAUGAUAAUCUGGAGCUAAAACAAUAAAGCCACUAGUGAAGAGGCCAUUUAUAUUAAAGCUCAUUAAUUCCUUCUCCUAAUCGCCAUUAAUGAACUUAUGCUGAAGAUCUUUCACUGUCUUCGGGUCCAACUGGAACGCCUUGGCAAGAAAAUCGGGAUUGAUUGGAGGAUUGGCUCCAAAGACCGCGUCGGCUAUGGUAAUUUCACCGGGGAACUGGCUGUUUAGAGCAGAAUAGGCAACUGCAUUUGUUUUUCCAAUGUUGAAUUGGAAAUGAAUCAAACCAAUUGGAAACACAAAAGCAUCUCCCUUAUUCAGAACUUUUGAGAUGAGUGUGUUAUUCAGUUGGUCUGAUGUCACAAAACCGACGUGAAGAGUUCCUUCCAGGACCAACAGGAUUUCACUGGCACGGGGGUGAAUAUGAGGUGGCCUUUGGCCAUAUGGCGCAUAGUCAAUACGGAAUGCUGAUAUGCCAAGGGUAUUGAGUCCUGGAAUUUGCUCCACAUUUGCAUCUGUUUCAUCAACACCAAGUCGAUUUGCUGUGUUUCCAGGCUUGCCAAGCCCGGAAAAGAAGAAAUCUUCUGCUCUCGCAAGCUUGGGGUCCUUGCAGAACUUCCCAUUCACAAACACUACAAGAACGCACAA
rnacentral:lncRNA from 1 species